UUGUUUUCAAUGGUGAGUACAGAGUAUAAAGACAUUGGAAAAAACUUGGGUGACAAGAUCUGGUCACUAGUAGGUGACCAACACUAUUGAAAAAGUGACAUAUGGUUAAAAAAAUAAUUAAAUAUAAAUACUAAUCAUUAAUAACCCCCUGCAGUGUCCUUAAAGUUAAACAUAAAUUCUUUAACGAGAUACGUGUCCCUUCCCUAUUGGUGUUGGUCACUUGCAAGUGACCAUACCUGAUCACUGAAGUCGAGUCCAAAGACAUUAAGCAAGAACCACUUACUUUCCAUUUUAUUUUUUAUUCAAGAACCAGUCUUACACGCCAUAGUCGUCCAUGCAUGACAUUUAACUGGACGACCAAGUGGACAAACAAUUGAGAGUGACUAGUUAAUUUACCAAGUGGCUGGGUAGCAAGAUACCCUUUCAGUUGUUGGGGAUGACAUAAACACAAUGUCGUUCACACGGUCACUAGCUAACAACUGUUAUCAGAUUAAUGCUUGUUAAAAUAAAUGUGUUUUUAUCUAAUCACUGUUAUAGAAAAUUUCAUAUAAGUCUACUUUGGGACAUUUUCUUCCACAUAAGUCCACCCAAACAUUUUUACCCACAUAAGUCCACUUUUAAGUCUAAAUAUGUCAUUUUGUUUUUACGAUAUACCUAAAAUACCCUCCGAUCUUUUACACCAAAUAUGUUCCUCUCUCUCUCUUACGGAUUCAGAAUUUCAGAUCGGACAUAAGGACCAGAGCCAAAUACGAUUAGUUGAGAGCUCCACAAGCGUCGUUCGUCGUGGUUUGCACGUCCUUCAUGGCGGUCCAGUUGUCGGCGGCAGAGAAGAAGACCGGGAUCAGAAACCAUAGAUCUGAACCUUCUCUCUAUCCAUUCUUCCACUUCGAUUCCGCCGCCGCCGCCGUGACAAAGUUGCCACCGCCUCGACGAUGACUUCUGGAUCCACCGUCGAAGACUCCUCGACGACCUCCGCUUCGGCCUCGACUGCAUCUCAUCAACGCAAAGGUCAAACCGAUUCCGAUGACGUGGUCCACCUCCUCUCUCUCUCUCUCUAUCUUCUCUUCUCUCUCUCUCUCUCUCUCUCUCNNNNNNNNNNNNNNNNNNNNGGUGGUAGUAGGUUUUGUGUUCAUUGGAAACCUCACAGUAGUAGCUUUUGUAGCUGGUGGUAGUAGCUUUUGUGGCUGGUGGUAGUAGUUUUUGUGUUCGUCGAAAACCUCACAGUAGUAGCUUUUGUAGACGGUGGUAGUAGCAUUUGUGGCUGGUGAUAGUAGCUUUUGUGUUCGUCGGAAACGUCGAAAACCUCACAGUAGUAGUUUCUGUAGGCGGUGGUAGUAGCUUUUGUAGCUUGUGGUAGUAACUUUUGUGGCUGGUGGUAGUAAUUUUUGUGUUCAUCGGAAACCUCACAGUAGUAGCUUUUGUAGGCGGUGGUAGUAGCUUUUGUGUUCGUCGGAAAUCUCAUAGUAGUAGCUUUUGUAGGCGGUGGUAGUAGUUUUUGUCGCUUGUGGUAGUAGCUUUUGUGUUCAUCGGAAACCUUACAGUAGUAGCUUUUGUAGGCGGUGGUAGUAGCUUUUGUAGCUAGUGGUAGUAGCUUUUAUAGCUGGUAUUAGUAAUUUUUGUCAUCAUCGGAGGUCGGUCGGAAAUCUCGCCGGAGGUCGGCCGGAAACCUUGCCGGAGGUCCGUUGAAACCUCGCCGGAGGUCCGCUGGAAAUCUCGCCUGAGGUCCGCCGGUGACUGUUCCGAAAUGAGAGUGAUUGUUGACUUUUUAUACUAGUGGCAUUCUUGUAAAUAUAAAAGAGAAAAUCUAAUUUUUAUUGUUGGAUGGCAGUCUGUAAUUAUGUUGAACUUCAAUACUUAAUACAAAACCUUAUUUAGACUUGGGUGGACUUAUGUGGAUAAAAAUGUUGGAGUGGAUCUGUGGGAAAAAAUGUCUCAAAGUGGACUUAUAUGUAAUUGGCCCUAUGCAAAUCCCGAUACACAGAUAGUGACCGGGUGAACCGGACUAAACAUAAACAAACCUGACUAUAUGAAACCAGGACUUUUCUGGCCAAAUCUUUUCAACAUUGAAGUUUAGGCCUAAACAAUUUCAGUCGUUAAAAACCCUAUGGUAAAGCUUCCACAAUGGCUACCAUACUCAGCUAUGAAGUACAUGAAUCAGAAAAUCUCAAACUCCUUCCACUCAUUUAAUUCACUAACACAUGUAUUUAUUUAUUUAUUUAUUUUUGAACAGGACUUCACUAACACAUCUAACCAAUAAAUCUUUCUUCAAAUCAAACACCAAAACCCGUUUAUGCAAAGACAAAAAAUUCACCCAAGCCACAGGCAUUCUCUGCCACCAAAACAAGGAGGCAAUAGAGCAGAACAAUCACCAAGGACUUAAACUUUUCUCUUACUUUGUAAUUGGUGAAGUCCAAUGAUGCAAAUAAAAGCUUGGUAGAGGGGGACGUAUUCAAUAGCUUCAACUGCAAGUCCAUUGACUUGGGCGUAUUCAAUAGUUUCAACAGCAAGUCAACCUAGGCAUUGACUGACUGCAAGUCCAUUGACUUGGGCAUUGACUGACCCAGCAAGCUCCAUGUUGGAAGCCAUUGACUACGCUGUUUGCCAGGAAACCGAAAGAGAGCAAAUUUUUCGAGAAGAUAAAAAAAAUAAUAAUGAAAAAGGUUUAUGAGAAUAAUUAACCAUUUUAAUUUUCUUUUAAUGGUGGAUCCCCCAACCCGAUUCGGCCCACCAACAUCCAACCGCCUAGACACGUAACGUCUCCGUGUAGCCCGCCAAAAUGUCCAUCCGCAAUAUUUUAUUAUUUUAAUUUUCUUUGAAAGGGUGGACCCUACAACACAAUUCGUCUCCGCCUAGGCCGUAAAAAAGCCCAUCCGCACUUUUUUUUUAUUUUUUGGUUUUUCUGGUAAAGUCUAAAACCCUAAACCCUUCAUUUCUGAUUGUGAAUUUAAAAGCAGCUCAGCAAUGAAAUUCUUGAAUGGGAAAAUCUCCAAGCCCUUCCCUCCAUUAAGCAAUAAAUAUUUCUUCAAAUCAAACACUAAAGACGGCCUGAUCACCCGUCUUUGCAAAGACAGGAAAUUCAAAGAAGCCAUACACAUUCUCUGUAACCAAAACCGCUUACCCGAAGCAGUUCAGUUACUCACCCACAUUGCUACACCCUCUUCUUCCCUAUACUCCACCCUCUUGCACCAUUGUCUUCAACACCGUGCUCUUGAUCAGGCCAAACUAGUCCAUUCCCACACAAAACUCUACGGCUUCGACCUCGGGCUGUUCAUUUCCAACCGUUUCAUCAACCUUUACGCUAAAUGCGGCAGUCUCGUGGAUGCCCAGAAGGUGUUUGAUGAAAUGCCCGACAGGGAUUUGUGCUCUUGGAACACUAUGAUUUCCGGGUAUGCGAAACUGGGGAAGCUUGGUGACGCUAGGAAGCUGUUUGAUGAAAUGCCUCAUAGAGAUAAUUUCUCCUGGACGGCAAUGAUUUCCGGGUACGUUUGGCACGAAAGGCCUGAUGAGGCUUUGGAGUUGUAUAGGGUGAUGCGGAAAGAAGAGAGUUCGAAGUGUAGUAAGUUCACUGUGUCUAGCGUUCUUGUUGCUUCUGCAGCUGUUCAGAGUUUGAGAAUGGGGAAGGAGAUUCAUUGUUAUAUAAUGCGGACUGGGUUGGAUUCGGAUGAGGUGGUUUGGAGUGCAUUGUCGGAUAUGUAUGGGAAAUGUGGGAGUAUAGAGGAAGCUAGGCGGGUAUUCGAUAAGAUGGUGAAUCGAGAUGUUGUGACAUGGACCGCGAUGAUGGGGAGAUACUUUGAGGAUGGGAAGAGGGAAGAGGGACUAGCAUUGUUUUCGGAGCUGAUGAGAACCGGGAUUAGGCCUAAUGAGUUCACGUUUGCGGGGGUUUUGAAUGCCUGCGCUGAUCAUGCUAUUGAGAAUCUGGGGAAGCAGGUACAUGGAUACAUGACACGGAUAGAAUUUGACCCCUUUUCGUUCGCAGCAAGUGCCCUUGUUCAUAUGUAUUCAAAAUGUGGAAACACUGCUAAUGCGAAUAAGGUGUUUAAAGGGAUGCCUAGUCCGGAUUUGGUUUCGUGGACUUCCCUCAUUGUUGGAUAUGCUCAGAAUGGUCAAGCUGACGAAGCUCUUCAGUUGUUUGAGUCACUACUUAAGUCUGGUACUCGGCCUGAUCAUGUAACAUUUGUUGGUGUUCUUUCAGCUUGUACUCAUGCUGGAUUAGUAGAUAGAGGACUUGAGUAUUUCCACUCUAUUAAGGAAAAACAUGGGUUAAAACAUACUGCGGACCACUACGCAUGUGUUGUUGAUUUGCUAGCCCGAGCUGGUCAAUUUGAUGAAGCCGAGAAUAUUAUAAGUGAAAUGCCUAUGAAGCCUAGUAAGUUCUUGUGGGCCUCCUUAAUUGGGGGUUGCAGAAUUCAUGGAAAUGUGAAGCUGGCAAAGCGAGCUGCAGAGGCGUUGUUUGUGAUAGAACCCGAGAAUCCUGCUACUUAUGUUACUCUGGCCAACAUUUACGCCACUGCUGGUAUGUGGAGUGAAGUAACAAAUGUUAGAAAGAAAAUGGAUGAAAGUGGGAUAACAAAGAAACCAGGUCUGAGUUGGAUUGAGAUCAAGAGAGAGAUGCAUGUUUUCUUAGUUGGAGAUCAGUCUCACCCCAGAUACAAUGAAAUUGAUCACUUCUUGAGUGAACUUUCCAAGAGGAUGAAAGAAGAAGGGUAUGUUCCUGACACGAAGUUUGUGCUACAUGAUGUUGAGGAGGAGCAGAAAGAGCAGAACCUCUCCUACCACAGCGAGAAGCUUGCAAUUGCAUUCGGCAUUAUUUCUACUCAAUCAGGGACUCCAAUCAAGGUUUUUAAGAAUUUGAGAACAUGUGUAGAUUGUCAUAAUGCAUUUAAAUUUAUUUCCAAGAUUUCUAAUAGAAAAAUAAUAGUGCGGGAUUCAAAUCGAUUCCAUUGUUUUGAGGAUGGGAAGUGUUCAUGUCUCGAUUAUUGGUGAUUUGAAUUGUGAAAUCAUUUUUGUAGAAUGCCAUCUGGGAACUUUGCACUUAUUCGAGAUGUUAUUCAACUGUGAACUAGAACUUCUGUUAGUAUAGACCUUUUCAGCUCAUAGAAGGCCACCCUUUACACAAUCUGCACCAAAGCUGCAGAACUCUGAUCUUUGGUGACUGGAACUGUAGUAUUCGUCAUAUACGUCGUGAGAAAAACAAGGUUGCAUAUAAUCUUGCCAAUUUGGGGCAUGAUGUAGGUCUCGGUAUUUGUCCUUUGGAUUGCCCCUCUCCAGUCUUGAGCCUAAUUGAAGCUGAUGCCCGCUAGGGUUCCUCUUUCUCAGUACUGAUGUAUGCUGUAACGUACAAGUUCUUCGAUGUGGAUGAGCUCAGAUAGUGUAUGUUGGCUUAAGAUCAAGGAACGUAUAGAGACUAAAAUUUUGACCCAUGAACCAAAACCUUAUAUAUGUCGAAAGCUGAAGAUAUAGAAAAUCAAAAGCUCUGUAAAUUUCCUUGUAAAAAGAGGUGAUAACAUACCUCUGUUCAAACUAACUAAUAAAGUGAACACCGAAUUUCUUUUCAUUUACAAAGAAAAAAAUUCUUAACUAUUCUCUUUCUGUACAGUUGUGCUUCAGUCACAGUUUCACUCAAGAAUUUUCUGCUACCUUGGGUUUUUUUUUUUGGGUAAUUGAAAAAAAAAGGCUUCACUAAAGACACCAAAGCCACGUUUGGCUUUCUAAUAGUAACGAUUAGAAGGAUCAAAACUCUUCCCAAAAGUUUUUGAUUGGCGCCUUUCGGGCAUGCUCUCCUUUAUCAUCAAAUAUAUUACCGAUACUACUAGGGUUUCCAUGACGAUAAGAUAAACUGCAUGAAACAAUAAAUACAUAAGACAUCAAAAUCAAAACUCUAUGUAAAAAGUUCAUUUGUUCUAGAUUUGUCUACUGUACAUUAAUAUAUUAAACAUGUCUACUUAACGCAUGGAGCGGUAUAUGUCAUUUGAAUGUAUCGAUACAGUGUAUAAACUUCAUGAAUUCCAGUUUGACUUGACAUUACCUGUGUUAAGCAGACUGAAGCUUGCUGAACGGUAGAGUAGCAGUAACCCAAAGCAAGCGGCAAUUACAGAGAAUACAAAUUCCUUUUUCUUAAUCAGAAACAAUAUCGCAUAAAAAACCAUAGCAGAAACUAUCAUAAAAGGAACCGCUGACCAAAUCAACCCUACUACGAAAGAAAUCGCCGCCCAUGUUGAUCCUACUAGAAUAGAAAAUAUUGCCCGGAUCGACCCUAGCAAAAACGAAAGCACCAUCCAAACUAGUCCUAACAAUCCUAGCAAAAUCUUGCCGGGUAUAAAGAACAAGAGCAUCAUAAAUGUGAGAGAGUUUUGAAAUCGCUCAUAUCUUUCUGCAUUUUUCGUAGCCCAAAUAAAACUUCCCUCCAGUACUUCCCUUGCAAAAGCUGGUACAAAAUGCUUGUACCAGUUCGCAACUACUGCUUCAGCUGCGACAAUGUUCUUCAACACCAUCUUUUAUAUAUUCCUACAAAUAUCAAAAAACAACUUCGGAUAAAAAAGAACAAAAUGUCAUAAAAUGCUACUAAUUUAAAUUCAAUAUUUCCUUGUAUUAUUGAUUUAUUUACCUUUGUGCAACAACAAGCUGUUUCAGUCUUCCGCAAAAGGAUCAGGAAGCCAUGCUAGGAGCAAAGCUAGGAGGAUAUAUAACUUCACACCUUUUCGGGUAAGAUAAAUUGCAGAACUUACCAAGCAAAUACAAUUAAGGAAAGGAAUCCUUAAUUGAUUAGAGUGCUUGAUGCCUUUGGACGUGUGAAUCUCUCUGCAUAUCCCUUCAUAUAAUUCUUCUAGGCAACAUAUGAUUGCCUCUAAGCCUCACGUUACCAUCUGGACAUGCAUAUCUUCUAAUUCCCUUUUGGACGUAGGUCUUCCUUCUACAUAUAUAUGUGAUCCUCACAUAAUUAGUGCAAUCAAACAUAAUUAAUUAAGGGAAAAAACCCUUACAUGAAUCAAACUUAUGCAACUUAAUUGCCUCAUUGACGUCAUGUAAUUCUUAGUUUUUUUGUUCUUUUUUUUUAUAGGUCAUGUAAUUCUUAGUUACUAUAAGCGAACCAACCAUGAUAUCCUUCCUUACUUGAACUCUUGACCGGCUCGGAUAAAUCUUCGCCUAAUCUCAGUGGGAUCUUCAUCUUUGUAGGCAUGCGAAUCACUAUUAAGUACUGAAUAAUCGAUAAUCAAUAAUGUACUGAUAAUAUAUAUUACGAUUCGCAUUGAGAUCGAUUGCUUUGUCUUCAAGUAGCUAGGCUUGAUUUUAGCAUCUAUUAUACCGCGUCCGCGGUGCUCGAACAUAACGGGUUUGGGCCACUAAGUACACCCGAAUGUGUCCACGACACUUAUUGUCCGCUAAAACAACUUGCAAGCUAGCUAAUUGGAAACUACUGGGACCGUGCGUUCUAUAAUUGUAUUGAUAUCUAGGGUUAUAGACAAACCUAACCAUAUUUUCAGUACCGUUAUUCAGCUUUUUUGCAUGGAUUUUACCGGAACUUGGAAAUGGCCGGGAAUAUAGUUAAAGGGAAUAGGAAAACACAACAGAUCGACCUGAGGGAGAUGUAGUUCAAAGUGAAGUGUAAUAUAAGGAUAGAACCCAAGUAUUGAUUUGGUGUCACACAAAGACAUAAUAAUUCUAAGCUACUGAGAACAAAUCGACCUGUAGAAUAGAUGCUGCAAUGAAAUGACACCAUCCGUGGCUUGCUCAGCUGAGUGGUACCAUUGCAAUAUUACACAUAACUGAUAGCAACUUCAGGACAAUACGAAACAACGUCCAAAAUAAUUUGCAGACCAACCAUACACCACUGCCAGUUACACCAAACACAAACCAACUUGCUGUCCCUGAGACAACAAUAAACAUGAACGCCAUGCUUGCCAAACAUAGAACAAACAUGAUGACCAUCCACGACUCAUGAACUGCAUUGAACGCCGUCUGCAUGUUCCAAACCGAAAGCAAGAUCUUCCUCGCCAAAACCAACGUCUCCUUCCCAUCCCUCACUCCCUCCGCCGUCAGUAUCUCUAACUGCCUCUUUAGGGAUCGAUCCAGCUCCUGAAGUUGGUUUCUGUAGCUGGGGUUAUUGUACCAGUUUUGAACUUUCGACAACUUGUCAACCAGCUCCACGCCCUUGAAGAUCACCUUUUUGAAAUCCUCAACUUCCUUGUUUGAGAGACUUAAUUCGAUGUUGUGGUGCUCUAUCUGUUUGAUCAGGGGAUGUAGAGAGUGGAGCGUUGAUUUGAUGUUUUCGGGUAGGGGCGUGAACUGUGUGGACUUGUUGAUCAGUAGUUUCCUGACGCCGUUGUACAGCUUUCCAAAUAGGGAUCCCAGAGCAGCUCCUGCAAUAAGUUCCCCUACUCCAACCAUUUAUCUUGAACUCUUGAUUAAAAACAAAACCCUGCACCAACUGAAAUCUGAAAACUUAUACUUAUAUUCUGUUUAAUUAAUGUUCUAAAAUCCAGCUAAGACAAAGGUAACGGUAGAAAAAUGAGAGACAUGUACAGGAAAUCAAGAGAAAUUAAAAGAUUUGCAAAUUACCAGAAACUGAAUUCCUCUACUUGAGAUGCCUUUUCUGAUAAACAACUAGACUAGAGUUGUAUGAACUCAACAUUUUUGAUUAGAAACUCCAAGUUGUCCAUCUCCUUAAUUGGGAUUACCAUAUAUAAGCUAAGAUUUCAGUGUUUAAGGCGAAAAAAAAAAAAAAAAAAAAAAUAGAAGGACUACGAUCUGUCUCUUUCUGGUAGACUAUUUAUAUAUAGAAGAAGACGAAGACUUGCCUUAUAUUUAAACUACGAUCGUUUUCUUUAUGUUUGAAAACUUGUUAGCUAGCUAAGACUCAUGUAUGAUGAUAUAUAUCCAAUUGGCGGACGCUUAAAUUUGUGGAAAUUUCAGCUAAACAGAAGUAAACUUGUCUAAUGGUAUCAACGGUGUCACUAAUAGUACUAGUGGAACAAGUGGAAUUAAUUAAAUUGAAGCUUACGUAGACCAGUUUCGUGUUGCAUGCAUCAUCCAAAAUACUAUUCUCUUUUGGUUGGUCGAUCGUCUUUCUCAAACUUAGAAAUAUAUGAAGCUAAAUUGGGAUUAAUUCGAGUUAUUCGACCUAAAAAAUAAAGGCAACUGACACAGUGGUUUGAUAUGGUUUAAUACUUGAGCCGCUUCGUUCAUCAUAAUAUGAUAUGAGUAGAGAUAUGCACGGAAUGAAGUAUGUCAUUUCCAUGUUAAUUUUUCAUAAUUAACUUAAACGAGUCAUUUACUUGUCAAACUAUCAACCGGAAAUGUGCUCCAUCUAGCCUUGUAGUACAUUCACACUUCACAUUCAUUAAAACGAUCUAAGUCGUUCAAGUUGCAUUAAUUAGUAAAAAAUUGUGUUAGAUCUAGCCUUGUAGUACAUUCACACUUCACUUUUAAGACACUGUACGUUUCAUUUUGGGUGGCAGCUGAUGUUGCAGAAAGUCUAAUCUAUCGAAUAAUUUCAUAUCGAAUUAGACUUUUCUUUUCAAAUGAUCAACCAAGGGUCAUUGAUGAUGCUGGGUUUGUUUCUGAUAAGGGAGAGUAAUGCACACUGGAGAUUUUCUAUGUACGUAGUACCUCGGCUUCUCCUUCUGCUUCAAUGCCAACUAAUUAAUAAUCUAAUUAGAAUUGAAAUAUCGGUACCGAGCUAGUCUGUGUAUAUGCAGCCCAAAUAUGAGUUCUGAGACCUAAAUAAUCAAUACACUAGACUCAUCUAUAACUCCAGCCUGGUGCAAGUGCACCUCAUCCUUCUUCUCUUCCCCCUUGAAUAGUAAUCUCCGGUUACCUAUUUCCAAACCAGUCCUUUUUGCAAAACGUUUCUUCACAUCCCCGAAGGUGGAGUAGGCAGGGACAAUGAUUUCGUAGCAGGAAUUGCCAUGCGUGACGUCAAUCCUGAUCAGAGGACCUUUCGGAUUCGGAUUCGUCUUCAACGUCGUCAGAAACAGCUCGAGUCUGGUCUGGUACUUUCCCCAGAUAACAAAGCCACCAUAAACUACGAAGCCGGAAACUACCAAAAAUGGAAGCGCCGCCCAUACCAAUGCUGCUAUGAAACAAAGAGCUACCCAAAUGGAUCCUACUACAAAACAUAGCGCCACCCAAAUGAAUCCUACCAAGAAACAAAGUGCCGCCCAGAUAUACCCUACUACAAAAACAACCACGACCAAAAUCGAUCCUACUAAAAAUGCCAACACCGCCCACAAGGACAUUACUACAUAUGAAAUCCCUCCCCAAAGAGAUCCUACUAUAAAUGAGAAGGCCACCCAAACCGAUCCUAGCAAGAAGGAGAAUACCGCCCAAACCGAUGCUAGCAACCCGAGGAAGAUCUUACGGGACGUAGAGGACAAGAGAAACACAAAUGAGAAUAAUUUGUGCAGUUGUUCAUGUCUUUCUGCACAAUCCUUUGCCCAAUAAUAAGUCCUCCCCAGGGCAUCCUCUGCUGUUCGGAACCACUCGGGUGGUUCCCCCCCAUAUACUUUUUGUACCGAUCUCCAAGUACAGCUCCUAUUGUGAGAACUUCUUCUGCCAUCUUGUAUAUGAACGUACCUACACAACUGUUAUACAAGGUGCAACUUCAGAAGACAGAAAAAUAUAUGCAAUGUCCUUAUACUGUAUAUAGUUGUCCGUAUGAAUUUGCACUACUUUUCAAAAGUUUCCUUCCUCACUUGCAGACUAAAUCAUGAGCAAUUUUACAGAUGAAGUUCCACAAUUAGACAUUAUGAUGCAACAUGAAAUGAAGAAAGAAAAGUGGCUUCUAUUUUCUAAGAACAUAUCUAGAUUUCAACACAAAACCAAAAUUUCAGAUUGCAGAUUCUACAUACUCUUCCCCAAGGUUCUGAAUCCUUUGUAAUAAUUACAUAUGCUUAUACGUAUAUAUGUAUGUAUGUCCGAUCGAUCGUAUAUAUAACAGAGGCUGAUUUCACAAUCAAUUCAUAAAUCCUACUUAAUUAGUACCUUUUUUCUGCAAGCCUGCAAGAACUUGCUUCAAUCUUCUUAGCUCUUGUUCGUGCGGAGUAGCUUUAAUUUUUUGUCUGUUAUAUAUUAAUCCGCUAGCUAGAAGAAAUACGCGGCUACUACUAAACACCAGAAUUUCUUGAUCAAGCAAUAUACUUUUUUAUUUCAAUUGCUUGCUUGAUGAUCAAUGAACUAGUAAGAGGGAGAAAAAGACUUCUCCGCGGCUUAUUAGUUGACGUUAAUGUACAAUUCUCAUAUUGGAAGAAUGGAAGCUACUUGGCAGCUGGCAGUGUCAUUGUUGGUUGUUAGCAAGUUUGGUGUAUAUAAUACGCGUUUAGUGGUUCCACACUUCCACUAGUACAUAUUCAAAUGCAUUUCACUUGAAAUGUAUACAGUAGUACUACUUCAAUGCCUUCCACUCAAACUGGGUUUGACUUCCCCUCUUCAGAACCAAUUCCAAAUGAUCGACCCUCUGAAAUAUAGCGUUUUCAAUUUAAUAUCCAACUAUUAUUCUUGUGUUUUCAUUCCUCAAGUUUUUGUUUGUUAACAAUUUAGUAUCUCACCGUUAAAUAGUUAUUUAUUUACUGAUGUGACAGUAUCAAGCGCGUUAAUUAGUACCUCACAAUCGUCAACCACGUGAUGUAUUCUGACUCGUUUAUAGUGCUAAAUGAGACCUAAGAUUCUUUCUAAGCGUAUAAAGAAGAUUGAUUCCUAGUCACACAACCAUUCCAACAAGGCUGAUUGAUAGCGCUGCAGAUCAAACCUCAUGCAACCAGCCGUAAGGUAGAGACAAUUAAUUGGCAUAUAUCUGCACUGAAGACCCUAAUGGCUAAACAUUAUAUGUAUGCUACAUUGCUACCUGGAAAAUACAUAUAUAACAAUCCGAGUCCAUCUUUUUUUAGGGCAAAUAUCAAGAAUUUUAUUCAAUCAAAAAAAUUACAUCGCAUGCGCAAUGAAUGGGAGGUUCGGCCAAACCAAGAGCAAGAUGGGACGGUGAUCGACCGACCUAGGGAGGCAACCCCCCAAGUCAAUAAAUACUAAAUCAGCUAACUACGGACAUUGCAAAAGAAUCAAGACGAACGAAAGCACUAGAGAAGUGGCCACAGUGCCACACAGCUAGGACCAACAGGAGCAAAAACCCUCACCAAAGCUUUUCUGGAGAAAGAAUAUUUACCAAGGACGAAGAGACAGAAUUCCAUUUUUGCUCUUCUUAGCCGUCAGAUUCUCCAUCUGUUUCUUGAGAUCGCUAUUCAGUUGAUAGAGUGUGUCGUCAAAGGUAGAUUUUUGCAGUGAGUUAUCUUCUCUGGAGAAGUCUUCACAAAGCUUUAUGGCCUUGGAGAGUUCCUUUUUGUAAUCGUCUACUUCCUUGAUCGAGAAAUGUAUAACUCUCGUUACAAUCUUCUAUCCUUUCUAUAUAAUUGACCUGCAGAGGCUUUAAUCUAUCGAUCACCUAGAUUUGAUGUUUCCGAGCUCUAUCUUGAAAUGAACUUUGUUGUUUAUCAGUGUCUGGACACAGCUAGCCAUACAGAUGUUCAAACAAGGCCUUCGCGCUAUACUCCUCUGGUCGAUUGGUGUGUAUUCAGUGGCUCGAGGACACAUGACCACAUAUAUUUUUGAGCCUUGCCUUGACACCAGUCUCCUCAGGUCCAUUAGUGUGUAUCACUGUAUCAGUGUCUCGACUCGACCUUUUACGCCUCCCAAAACUGCUGCCACGGCACCAGUCCACUUUUACACUCUUAACACACAAACGGUUCGGCUAAACCAAGACCAACAUGAAUUACAUGAUCAAUCAAGGGAGGCAACCCUAGUCAACAAACACUGAAUCAGCUAACUACGGACAUUGCAAAAGAAAUUAACAAGACGAACGAAAUCACUAGAGAAGUGGCCACAGUGCCACACAGCUAGGACCAACAAGAGCAAAAACCCUCACCAAACCAGCAAUCCUUCUACCUUCUCCUGGAUGUCCAUGACAUCUGCUUGGGGAAUUCUGUGCGACACAUUUUCAGCCCUCAUAUUAUUCGGACUAGAUGAGAAACCGAGCACAGUGGCAUAUACUACGAAGAAGCUUUCGGGUGGGAACAAUAGAAGUGGCAGCGGACGAUCCUUCAUUCUUGGAAGAUGUAGUUCUGCUAUCUAACGUGUUUGGUGCGAAAGAUGAUGGUAAAAGGACUAUAUAGAUACUUAAAAAGCGUAAACCGCGAGUUCUAAGUUGCAGACAUACCUAAUUGGAAAAUGCAGGAUACUAAUUCAUCAAAAUUUAUACGUUAAUAACUUCAUAUGCAUUGUGUUCAUCGUGAUCAUACUUCAUCAGUCGCUUGGAGCCUUGGACAAACUAGCUAUGAUUGUGGUAGCUCUAAUUAAGAUUCAUGACUCGCGCUUAUGCUUAAUGAAACAUGCUAUGCAAUCUAACUACAAACAUCCCUGGAGUUACAAAACUUUCGUCACCAACAUAUUUUCAACGCAAGCUAAUUCAGGAACCUCUAGUUUCAUAAGUAUUACGGAGAGAACCAUUUGAUAUGAGUAACAAUGAGUUUUCUACUUUUCUUUCACCGGGCAGGCGGGCACCUACUGAUGAUUCUACAAAAAAAAAAAAAAAAAGUAUCACCUACUGAUGUCGAUUUUAUAUAUGCCGGAAACUUUUUAUGUACAUCGAGUAUACUAGCAAUUCUUCUUCCUUGUUUCCUAGCUAUAUAUGCCACACUUGAUGAUACAUGUUUAAUCUGCUUUCUUCUCCAAGCAAGCACUCCAUUUGAUCGAAAACCAAUCAACCACAUAUAUGCAGUGUUGGUACAAGAAUUCCCCCCCUCUAGGACCUUCAUGCAGUCCUCACUUUCUGUCUCUCACAUGAAAUAUCAAUACAUCCUUUUAGAUUUUCGAUUGUUUGAAAUUUUGAAAUACAUACAUGUUUCAAUUACCUCUGAUUGAGAUUGCAUGUAUUCAAUCGAACCAAUAACCCUUUCAGGAUAGGUCAGAAUUGGACUAUUUUAAAAAAUAAAGAAUAUGACAUACUGUUAGAGAGCAUGAAUGACCCAUAAUCUUUUCCAUUACAGUUUUGAUAUUGCUAUGAUUAUGCAUUAGUUUUGACAUUGCUAAGAUUAUGUAUCAGUUUUGAUAUUGUCAUUAUUAUAGAUUUAUUGUCUUAUGUAAAAGCUGUGUAUAGCUACUCAUAUAUAAUGUAUAACAUGUAAUUGUAAAGAUUAAUGAAAAUCAAUUUCUACAAUGUUAUACAUUAUAUAGGAGUAACUAUACACAGCUUUUACAUAAGACAAUAAAUCUAUAAUAAUGAAAAUAUCAAAACUGAUACAUAAUUUUAACAAUGUCAAAACUAAUGCACAAUCACAACAACAUCAAAACUGAUUCAUGCUCUCUAACACAUACUACUACAUUAAACGGCUGCAUAAUACAACAAACCUACAUUUCAAAGAUUUAUACAAAUAUGGAUAGAAACCCAAAGCCCAGAACCAACAGUAACAGACCUGCCCCGAAUUUGGACAAAAUUACGCACACGCUAUUGGCUCUUCACUCUAUCUCUUUAUUAGCCACUCUCUCAUCCUAAUCAUGAAGGCUUUCUUCCAAAAUGGCGUCAGAAUCGUCGUAUGAGACUCGCCGUUCGACGCCGAAUCGCCGCUCUAUUCCGGCAACGAAGCCCUCCAUUUCGCAUUUUCGCUCUCUCAGAUCCAACAACAGCAGCUCCGGCAACGGCAAGGAUGCCUCCGAGAACGGAGUCGUACACGAUUCGGACGGGAAUCGCAACGCAAACGUAGGAGAGGUUUGUUAUUUUGAUCUAAUGUUCUCCUCCUUCAAUCAAUAGUCAGUCGCUUUGGAUUUGAUUUUUGCUGUGAACAAUUGCUUUUCAUGCGCCAAAUUCAUGUAAUUGCCCUUUAUUGGUUCAUGACGGGAUUUUGUGUUUGAGCAAUUUAGGGAUUACAUGAUAUCAAUAAAUUUUUGGUUUUAUGUUUUAUCGACUAUGUUUGUUGAAUAACUUUUGAUGAAAUUGAUUGGGGACGUUGUUAACAGGUGCCACGGUUAGAGUGGGAUGCAAAGACAAGUCAGGCAUGGCACUCUUGGUAUAGCAAAAGAGAACGAUUGACUCAACUAGAACCUACAGGAUUGUAGUUGAAGGGGACCAUGAGAACCAGAUCUGUGAUGCUAUAAUUGUGAGCAACACUCAUAAGAGCUGUUCUGAUGCUAUCCUCUCCAGCUACAAUGGCAUGGCAUCAAACUAUCGUUUUGCUAAUGCUAUGGGGUUCAUGAGGACUGAGGCCUUGUCCAUUUAGUUGAACCACUAAUUAUCUGCUACUGUAUUUUCCACUACACUAGGUGAGUCCCUACUGGUAAUACAUUGUUACUGCAUUUCUGGAAAUAGUUGUUGCUACACUAGUUGAGCCACUAAAAACAUGCUACUGCGUUUUUUGAAAAUAGCUGUUACUACACUAGAUGAGCCACUAAAAGUACCUGCUACUACAUUUAUUGUAAAUAGCUGCUACUGCAGUUACUAGAAAUAGUUGCUACUACACUAUAACUGAGCCAUCAAAAACUUGCUACUACAUUUACUGGAAAUCUAAAUAAUAAUAUGUAGUUAUUCAUGUGUGAAGGUUAUAAUUGUAAAUGAAUUGUUGACACAUUACAACAUAAAAAUAGUUGCCCUUCUUUGUAAGAUUUUAUCCUUAUAAGUUGUAAGACAAAAAUUAUGUCCUUAUUUAUGUGUAUUGAAUCUUUUCCAAUGAUGUAUAUGUAGUUUGUUAUAAAAAAAAAUAAGACUAAUCAUUUAAAUGAGCUAAUGCAGUCCCCGGGCCACCACUACACUUUCUUACAGAAUGACCCCAAAAUUUAUGGGACUAUGGAGCCUUUAUCUUGCUUUCGUUGUUGUUCUACUCUUCUCAGAAUUGCUCUUCUCUCUUCAAUUCGAUUUAGCAGCUGAUUCAUCUCUCCUCGCCUCCUUGAAUCUGUAAUUAAGUUCUUCUGGGUUGUACUUGGUUAUAGAGUAUUUGGAUCAAUUUUCUGGGUUUGUGGAGGCCUCCAUCAAUCUUGUUUUCAGAGGCUCCUCUAGCAAUUUUAUGGGCUUGUGGGUCUGAGAAUUUUCUGGGUUUUCAAUGAAGAUUCUCUUCUAACAAAAAAAAGAAGAAGAAGAGAUUUGCUGAGUUUAGAGAGAUGGCUAGUAUUUGGUUCGUUUAGUGAGUUUUAAAAACAUGUUCUUGGCCUUCUUAAUCUUUAUGGUCUUAAUGGUUUUCUAUUAAAAUGAUGCAAAUUGAUAUGGGUUUAUUGGUUUAGAUGCAGAAGAAAAGGACAGACAGCUAGCUUGGGUAAUUGAAGAAGAAAAUGAACAGUGAAGUUGGAAAAUUUGCAGGUUGAUGAUGUCAGUUUUAAUAUCAAUCCUAUUGGCACCAAACAUGGGUCAAGGGAUUCUACGGCAUAAGCCAAGCUUUUAUAGUGCAGGCUUGUUGAAGAAAUUAAGACACUGCAACACAGUCCCCUUUACCAAACGUCCCUUCAGGUUGAGGUACUUACAGAUUAGGUUUAGUUGAAAAAGCAUAUAAAAUCAUACAACCUGUAGCGCAAGUUAAACAUUACCAACUAUAUGUAUCUCUUGUAGCUAGAGGUAUAUGCGCACAUACACACACGACAAAUCAAUGAAAGAUAGAAUCGAGUUUCCUUUGUAUACGAAUUGAUUGGAUCACCACGAAAAUGAAAUGCAUGGAAUCAUCAAAAUACAGAUAAAGAAGCCAGUGUUGAUUUUGUCGCUCGGACUUUAGUUGAUAGCUAGUUUCAACUUUAAAAUGUACGAGUUGCUCGUUUUGUUUUUUUUUUUUUUUUUUUUUCUUUUUCUUAUUGUCUAAGCUUUUAUCGUAUAAUGUUUGUCUAAAUGCUUGAACGCAACACCCAAAUUCGGUUUUGCACUAGAAAUUUUGUACUAAUACACCAACAAAGCUCAAAUGCUUGCAUUAUGAUUCAACACAUUACAAACCUUCUAAUGAAUUUCCAUAUCUUACUAGACAUCGUAACUCGAUUAUCCACCGAAGCAACAGAAGAAUGCGUCGGAAUGGAAAGUUCUUGGAAAAUUUCUUGAUUAUCUACUGAACCAACAGAGAAAUGUGUCGGAAUGGAAAGUUCUUGAAAAAUUUCUCCAUUUGUCCACUGCACCAACGGAAGAAUGUGAACCAAAUUCCGUCCUGCAAAGGUAUAUUAAACCACGGUGCUAGUGCGGGUGAUUUUAAAGUAUGGCAGCAAACGGGGCAACUCGGAUUGAUCACCAGCCACUUGUAAAUGCAAGGUCCAUGAAAAACAUGCAAACAAGGUAAUCGAAUACCAUCAUCACGUUCAAUCUUAUAGUCGUCUAAACAAAUAGCACAUGUCCCACGUUUCGUAGCUUUAAAAAAAGCCUCCAUACAGUCUAUUCGAUUCAUCAUCAUUAAGUAAAAGAAAAAUUUCAACUGUGUGAGAUAUAUGGACAUCAAUAAAACCCUCGGUUUCUGAUCCAAUGGAACUUUGAACAAGAUCAACUAGUCUUUGCACAACAUUAGGCACUAGGAGUACUUUGUAUUCUGGAGGAAAAUGGGUGUUCAUAAAGUCUAUCAUCAUACGCCCUGAAGGAGAUUGCAGAAUACUAGUAGCAUCGUGGUUAUGGAACUCAGAGGGACGGACCAUAAUGGCUUUUGUUGGGAAUUGGGGGAUCAUCCAAUGCUCUUGAAUAUAUCUAUCUGGUGCAAAAGUGAACAUGGUGUUCUUGUAGAACAUAAAUCGGAUCAUGAGUGCAUCAUCACAAGGUGGAAUCAUCUGGUCUCCUGAUACGCAAUCACCACGACCCCGGCACGGUAUCCAAUGCGCAGCAAAUAUGCGCUCUCGGAUGAUGUUGAGCAUUGUCGCUAGUACAGACAUAAUUUCAGAAUGGCAGGGACGUUGUAAUAAGCUAAUUAGCAGCAGCUAGUGCUUUAGUUGAACGGUACCUGCAGGCCAAAAUGAAAUAGCAAGACUUAUUUUGAGGUAAAGAAGCUGCUGCAACGAAGCAAAUCAUAUGAGGGCAAGCUAACAAUCCACAGUCAAUUGAAUAGCAGGGACGGUUAUAUAUACUGAAGCAACCAGCACUCCUAAUCGGACACGGAUUCUCAAUCUCUAUCUGCUAACAAAAGUAAUCAGUAACCAAGUUUAAUUCCAACUUAGACACGAAUUCCAGUUUGCUAUGUGAUUUAUUAUUUUACAGGAAAGAUGUCGAUUUCUACGGCAAGCUCGCCACCGCCCAAAGCCCCAAGGUCAGUUUCUCUGAGAUGCUUUAUCUGAAUGAAUGAAUACUCAAUAGAACUUCUUUUAUAGUUAGGAUCAAAUCUGAACGGCUUUUCAUAAAUUGUCAACGCAGUUUAUGCUAGCUGCAUGCUCAGAUUCUCGAGUGUGCCCCUCCCACAUCCUCAAUUUUCAACCAGGGGAGGUUUUUGUGGUCCGAAACAUCGCCAACAUUGUUCCUCCAUUCGGCACGGUUAGCUCUUAAUCUUGGUCACAAUUGCGCAUGGUUUAUGACUGGUGUAUAGUGAUAAUGGCUUAGACCAAAAUGAUGAAAUAUGCUUAAAAGUUAUCAAAAAUCGAAGUGGCCGGGUCUUUAUUCUAUCAUGGUUGAUUUCUGGUUUGAAAUACAUGUAAUUGACUAUUGUGGCCUGUGGCCUGUGGCAUGUAAGGUUCUCCUAGUCAUUCGAGUCUCUGUCCUUUUCUUUAAUCUGCCUAAUAAAAGGGAGUGGAAGCUCAAUAGUUGGUGGAUAAGGAAUCAAGUUAAUUGUUAAGUGCAGGUAGUGUACACCUUUUUGUUCAGAAACGUUGUUAAGAAAAUAGAAUUGUGUGAUUUGCAGGUGGAGAAUAUUUGUGUUAUCGGGCACAGCUGCUGCGGCGGUAUAAAGGCGCUCAUGUCGAUCCCGGACGAUGUGACCACCGAUAGGUAAGACUUCAAUUAUAGAUACAAUUAAGAAGCAUCUUUGUCUGUAUUAGCUUCAAAAGUUGAAUAAUCAAAGUUUAAGUUACAAUUAGCUAGCUACACCGCGUAUGCAUAUUCAGUAGGAGUUUUAGAAUCUUGGGUUUUAAGGACUUCCAAUAGUUUCUUUCUCAUUCCCUUGUGGUAUUAUUGUUAUUGCUAUAAACAUUAUAAAAAGAUCACAGUGAUUGGUGGUCAUGUCCAAAUCAUGAAUAGAAAGGAAUAUUAGUAAGAGAAACUUAUUUUCAGUAGCGCGGUACCACAGUUUUUUUAAGCGUCCAAUAAUCUAGAACAGUGGAAGUGAUGAGAGUAGAAGUAGAAGAACAAGUACUUUAUGACGGAUCGAUUGCCACAAAUUAAAGCAGGAGCUGGUGAAAAUAGAUAGGGAGUAGAGAUAAAACAGAAGAUAGAUAGGGAAAAGAGAGGAAACAGAAGAGAGAUGAGAGCUGGAGGUUUAGGAAGUAAUAAUCUUUUCAUUCAAUUCUGUCUCUUCUACCAUUACAAUGCCUCCUAUAUAUAAGAGCUAGAAUAGAUCGAAAACAACCAGGAAUCCUAAAACUUCUAAGCCAUCUAAAAACUCUAGAAAAUAAUAAAGCCUAAGACAAUCUGGAACAUAAAACAGUCCUAAAAACAUUAGAAAUAAGCACAAUCAGUAGCUAAUCGCCAUUAUAUUCUAAAUCAGAUGCUCUAAAAUUGACUGCAGCCAUAGGAUGCUUCAUUCAUUCUUAACAUGUUUAAUUAUGACAGAUUACAGAUAUACUGCACAUGUGGCACAAGUUCACCUAAAACCUUAUCUGUAUUGUCUACCUAAUCCUAGUUAGGAUGAACCGUUUUUGCACUUCUGGAUCAACAGUUACUGUUUGAUUUUUAAAUUUCCAGUGCCAUUGAGAACUGGGUGAAAAUUUGUGCACCAGCGUAGACCAAAGUUAAGAUCGCAUGCGGUAACUUAGGUUCUGCAGACCAAUGCACCAGCGUGGAGAAGGUAAUUUUUCAUUACUUUGUUUUUAUAGAAAUCUUUAUCUCUAUGUCAGCAUCUAAUAUAUGACUGUUAGUUAGCCUUGCGAUGCAAGAAACAAAGUUAAAUAGUUCAAAUCAAAACUUCAUAGCUAUACAUAAUUACAUACUAAUGGUUGUGAAUUGUGAACUUUAUCCAGGAGGCUGUACGUGAAUGUCUCACUUAGAAAUUUGUUGACAUACCCGUUUGUUAGAGAGGCAGUCACAAACAAACGGGUAUGUCUGAAGGGGGGAUACUACAAUUUCGUCGAGGGCAGUUUUGAGCAUUGGGAUCUUGAUCUCAAACUUACGCCUGCAGUUGUGAGUUAUGAUGUAUUAUCUUUAACUGAUUGAGGUUUUGCAUGGUGUAGUAUUGUUGCAAGCUGCUCAUGUAACAUCAGCUUUCUUUCUUUAUGUGAACACAUUUGUCAGAUUUUGUAUUAAUCCAUUCUUUAUAGUAUAGUUGAUUGUGUAAAUAUCUAUUGCAGCUAUGAAGCGACCUCUUCCAGGAAAAGCCGCAGUCUUGCUAAGGAGUUUACUACGGGAACUGUGGCCUCUCUCUUUUUGGUGCGUUUUAUUUGGAGUCCUCUAUUUUCUAUUGAAACUAUACUCUAUUUUCUCAUCUUUUUCUGCAGGGUUUUGGAUCCUUGUUCUAGCUGCUUGCUUCGGGUGUUUAUGUUUAAUAGUUUGCGUUGAUGAAAUUUUGUUAAGCAAAACUAGAUUUACAUGAUGGAUAUUACUGUUGACAUCUUUAGUUAACUGGUGGUAUCUUAAAUGAGACAAAUUUCAAUACACUGGUCUGUUGCCUUAUGUUAUCACACGGUUCACACCUUUAAUAUAUUAUUGUCUGGGUGUGUUUUCUUUGUCCUUUUGGGCAUGCGCAAGGGGUAACAAGUUAGUGUCAAGCACUGGCUACAUUUGCAUCAUAGCCCAUCGCUCGAGACUCUAAAGUUAGGCAGUUGGUAUUGCCAUAUUCCUGCUCUUUCAUUUCUGAAUUCCAAAUCUGUGAGGUGAUGCCCAUUAAUUUCAUCAAUGAAAAUUGAAUCUGAAUCGCCUCUUUCCUUCAGUGAAAAUAACUGCUAAGCCUUAGUAAUGGCGCUUUCAUCUUAUCAGAUGGCCGGCUUCAGUUUACAUCAUAUCAGCUCCUCAACUCAAAACGUAUUUCAACUAUUCAGGCAAAACUUCCAGAUUUAGAGAAAACUAUGGCGAUGGAUAAGUGUCUGUAGCAUCUUGAUUAGGUGAUUAAUUGUAACCAAAAAAAGAAAGUACACGUUUCUCCAAAAAAAAAAUAUGAGAGCGAAAAAAAAAUUAGACAUUAAAACUGCAAAGAAAAUAAUCUUAAAAUGGUGACGCGUGUGGACCAGUAACAUUAAAAGAGCGUGGGGAUCAAACAUCGCAUCAGAGUCUCCUCGAUACAAACAGUAGCGAAGCUAGAAACUCAAUUUAGAAGGGUCAAGACUUAAGUGGCUAUUAAGUUAAGACAAAAUAUUGAUAACGUAGUUGCUUCAAGGAAAAUCUUUUAAUCGUUGGCUUAUACCUAACUAUAUAAAUUAUCUUAGAUCUGAUCGGUUGGCCAAGCAGUUGGUUCGUUUGAUCGACAGUGGUGCGCUCGACUGGGUCUCGGUUGUGCUGGGGAUGGCUGAAGGUGCAGUGUUGUUGGAUGGGGAGGCGGCGGCGGAUUGUGCAGAUCUGGGUCCGGUCCAUUUCGGGUUGGUUUUGCUACGGCUCAGCCCGAUGACCUGUCUCGGCUUCACAGCGGCGAGAUUGGGAGUGGCGGCGAGUGGUGGUCUACUUGGGGUGCCCUAGGUUGGGUCUUGGUCCUGGCAUGUUGCUGCUUGGGUUAAUUGGUUGGGCCUGGGCCUAGCUAGCUCGGCUGAAUAUUUACUUUUUGCAUUAUUUACUUUUAAUUUUUCUGAAGUGAGGGGUGGUUAUGCUCCUGCUUCUAUUGUCGAAGAAAUAUGACGCCAGUGGCGUUUGAUUCACAUGUGCCAUUGAUAUUCAUGGGUGUGAAUUGAACUACACUAGAUGUGCUUCAUUGCUAGAAAAGGUGAUGUUGUUUAGGUAAUAGUUUUUUGUCAGAUUAUGUACGGUUUAUGCUGAUCAAUAAAGGGUUAUCUAUUUCUUCAAAAAAAAAAACUAUAUAAAUUACCUCAUUAGAUUGAUUCAAAAGUAGACCAUGUGACGCCGGCAAAGUUUGUAAGUUAAAGAUGUUUUUGUAUAGUUUGAAGCAGUCUUCUAGAGCUUGGUUUGGAAGAUUCUCCAAAUCAAUGAAGUCGCGCGGUUGGUUAUAGACAAAGCAACUCGGAUCACACUUUGUUCAUCAAGCGUAGUUAGGGUAAGAUUACCGCUCUGAUUGUGUAUGUUGAUGAUAUGAUUGUCACAGAGGAUGACCCGAAAGAGAUGGAGGCUCUACAUAAGUAUCUUUCAAAAGAGUUUGAGAUGAAGGACCUUGGAUAGUUGAAGUAUUUUCUCAUAAUUGAAGUUACAAGGUCUAAAAAGGAGAUUUUUUUAUCCCAACGUAAGUAUGUACUUGAUUUGUUAGCUGAGACUGAAAUGCUUGACUGCAAGCCUAUUGAGACUUCGAUUGAAACGAAUCACAACCUCACCAUCUAUCUGAAUCAAGUUUCGGCCAACUGAUAAAGGAAUGUACCAACGUCUAGUAGGGAGACUUAUUUAUCUUUCUCAUACCAAACCUGAUAUUGCUUAUGCUGUGAAUGUGCAUGGUUAGUCAAUUCAUGCAUUCUCCCAGUGAAGACCAAUGAAGAGCAUAUGGAUGCAGUGUAUCGUAUUUUGAAGUAUCUUAAGAUGGCACCUGGAAAAGGCUUGUUGAUUGAAAAGAACGUUGAAUUGGAGGUUGUGGGAUAUACAGAUGUUGAUUGGGGUGGUGAUCGAUCAGACUGACAUACGGUCUACAUCUGAAUAUUUCACGUUCGUUGGAGGAAACCUUAUGACAUGGCGUAGUAAGAAACAAAAAGUUGUUGCUAAGUCAAGUGCUGCAGCAGAAUUUCGAGGUAUGGCGCAUGAAGUUUGUGAGAUGCUAUGGAUUCGCAAUGUAUUGAAAAGUUAGGUUUCAAACUCAAGAAACCCAUGGACUUGCAUUGUGAUAGCAUGUCUGCAAUAAAAAUUGCUCAUAAUCAUGUUCAGCAUGACCAAACAAAGCAUGUGGAGGUAGAUCGGCAUUUCAUUAAGAAAAACUUAAUUAGAUAGGAAAAUCAUUCGUUUCCCUUUUGUGUAUACGGAAGACCAAUUAACAGAUGUUCUCACAAAACAAAAGGAGUGUCAAGGAAAGUGUUUGACAACUCGGUUGGCAAGUUGGGCACGAUCGAUAUCUAUGCACUAACUUGAGGGGGAGUGCAGAAUAUUGUGUAUAUAUUUACUUUCCUUGUAUGUAUAGAUGUAGAUGUAAGAUAUAUUGUCUUAUUAGCAUUAUGAUUGUAUCUCUAUAUAAACCUCAUAUUUAUAGAAGAAUAAUUCAUUGAAGUAUUCCAAAACAUAUCGAAGUUAUCUUUUCUACUGAAAAUACAUAUAUAACGAUCGGAGUCCAUCUUUUUUGAGGGAAAUAUCUAGAAUUUUAUUGGAUCAAAUAAAUUACAUAGCAAUGAAUGGCCACAAGCGGUUCGGCCAAACCAAGAUCAACAUGACAGAUCUAGGGAGGCAACCCUAGUCAACAAACACUGAAUCAGCUAACUACGGACAUUGCAAAAGAAUUAAGGCGAACGAAAGCACUAGAGAAGUGGCCACAUACAGUGCCACACAACUAGGACCAACAGGAGCAAAGUAAAACCCUCACCAAAUUAAACCAGCUUUUCCGAGAAAGAAUAUUUACCAAGGACGAAGAGACAGAAUUCCGGCUUUGCGCUUCUUGGCCGUCAGAUUCUCCAUCUGCUUCUUGAGAUCGCGAUUCAGUUGGUAGAGUCUGUUGGUGAAGGCAGAUUUUUGUAGAGAGUUCUCUUCUCUGGAGAAGUCUUCACAAAGCUUUAUGGCCUUGGAGAGUUCCUUUUUGUAAUCGUCUACUUCCUUGAUCGAGAAAUGUAAACUCUCAUUACAAUCUUCUAUCCUUUCUAUAUAAUUGACCUGCAGAGGCUUUAAUCCAUCGAGCCUUGACUUGAUGUUUCCGAGCUCUAUUUUGAAAUGAACUUUGUUGUUCAUCAGUGUAUGGACGCAGCCAUACAGGUGGUCGAACAAGGCCUUGGCAUUAUGCUCAUCUGGUCGAUUGGUGUGUAUCAGUGGCUCGAGGACAUUGUGUAUCAGUGUCUCGACUCGGCCUUUUACGCCUCCCAAAACUACUGCCACACCAUUCCCCUCAUGCGAGUUAGAUUUCUGGCCUGUGAGUAUGUGAAGCUGCUCCUUGAGAGAUUUGUCCAAUUCGUCUAGCUGUUUGGUGUACCUAGAAUCUUUGAGCGAGUUGGAUUCUCCGGAGAAGUUUGCGCAAAGCUGCAUGUGUUCCUUGAGUUUCUGUUGGAAGUCUCCUACUUCCUUGACUGUAAGACGGAAUUUGAAGGUUUCUAUUGUUAGCUUUAAGUUUUUGACCACCGGUUGUAAUUCGUUGAGUCUGGAUUUGAUGGUAUUGAGCUCCUGAGUGAAAUGGUGCUUGUGCCUUAUCAGCCUUUCCACGCUCUUGAUCAACUUCCCGAGAUCAUCCUCGGCUAACUUAAGGGCCGUAUGUGCAAACUGUGCAGCCAUUCUUGGUUGGUUUGCUUAGAAAUCACGAGUACGCAAAAACAACUUAUACAAUCAAAAAAAUUGAAAAGCUUUGGAAACUAUAUGAGACAAGGGAAAAGAAACUUGAAACUCUAAUUCAGACUCAAAUAUGGUCCAGCUUAAUUAUAUGUCCAAGAGAAUGAAGCACCAAGACUAUAUAUAGUUGCCUGCAAUUCCAUUAGCAAAAUACUAUACAUAAUUAACAUUAAAUUUCCUAAUGCAUAGAAAAUAUUAGUUUAGCUUUUUGGUGUACGUAGAUUAAAAAAAGAAGACUCCCAAAUUAAGAAGAGGACAUAGACUUGACCUAAUAGUUUACCAUCUCGAUUAUGUCUGUCUCGGAGAUUAGUUUUGGUUUUAGGUGAUAAUGAUAUUGAUUAAUGGUGUGAACUAACCAAAAGUUGGAGUUUUGUGUUAAUCAUUGUCUGCUCCAAAAUACCAAUCGCUUUUGGGGGCUCGUACAUGUUUGAAAUGCAGCAAAUCAUGGUUGUUCCACCAUAAACAUGAAGGAAACUGGCUGGCUUAAUUGCUUAUAUUAACAUGAGAACUUCUGGGAAGGAUCCAUCUCUAUAAACUAACAAGAACUGAAUUAUUUAAGUUCUGGUAGCGCCCCCCUGUCCAUUCGAGUAUGACUAAUCAUAAACAUAUUGUACUUCCCUGAUUAGUGAAGACUAAUUAUUUAGGUUAUGAAUUUGACAAACCAAAGAACCAAACCAACCCAGUUCGUUAGUGUUUAUAAGCAAGAGAGAAAAUAUGUAGAUGAAUGAAGGAGCCAAAAUGUUCGGUGGAGGGAGCUAUGCUGUACCUGAAGACUAUGUUUCCAACAAUUUUUUGAAAUCGUCCCCCCUNNNNNNNNNNNNNNNNNNNNCCCCCCCCCCCCCCCCCCCCCCCAAACUUAUAAUGGAUAUUUGAUCAAGUGACAACAUGGCAUGGUAGGAAUAAGUUGUGAAGUUUGUAAGGUUUUUGUUAUUUAUAUUAAGAGCAUCUCUAACUGCUUUUUAAGUUUUUGGUUUUCUCAAGUUUGGAGAAGAUUUUAGGUAUUUUGCUCCAACGAUUCUUUAAAACUUUCUCCAAAAUAGAGAAUGUGAUAGGACAGAAAACCAAAUUUCCUAUGUUUGCAGCGAAUUCUAUAAUUUUAUAGAAGAAUUUAGGGAAUGAUCAUGAAAUCUCCAAAAUAGAGAAUUUGUUAGAGAUGUAAAAGGAUGCAAAUUUGCUCCCCACCCUUACUUCCCCACCUUCAUCCUCACCUAUCUAAAUGAAUGACACAUGUCCUUUUUGUUUAACCACACUAACUAUGGUUAACAAUAUGUAUUUACAAUAAUAAUUUAUAUGAUCCCCUUUACUUUAAUCUUUCUUUUUCUAAACAAAAAUCAAAACAAACUUCAACUGAAAGUUCGAAGGUCCAAAAGUUGCAGUAAGAUGCAAUGGCGUAGCCAGAAAAAUAAACUAGGAGGGUCAAAAUUUAGUGUUUCCUACAUCGCCUACAUUCAAGUAGCUUGUAUCGCUCAACCCUUACCAACUUGAAUAAAAAAUAUAUAAAAUAUCCACGAUGAUCAUUCAUAUUUUGAGUCAUUUUUUUCAGAUUGUAAGGUAGCAUGUAAUAUUAAUUAGUCUAAACAUCAAACUUUACACUAAUUAUGUAAUAUAAACAUGAAAAUGGUGAUUGUAUCAACCUGUCAUGGGUUGUAUGGAAAAGUGAGAGAGGUCAUUUGAACCUUCUCACUCUCAUGUGGCUACGCCAUUGGUAAGGUGCAAUAUUCAAGUCAUCACAUACAAUUUCCCUUUAAACUUCAUGGUGAUGGCUGGAGGGGGUGUUGGUGGGUUAGAUUGUCUUUCUCUGUGGUGUUCAAUCGAGGGUUGCAAUCGUGGAGGAUUCCAGAAGCAAGGGUCCAAGAUGGUUUGGGUUUUGGCCGGAGAGCGAUUCCGACGAGGAAAGCGGAGCGGAGCACGGCUUGUGGGUGUGAAUAAAAAGAUGCCCAUCCCUUUUUGGGGCAGUUCUAGUGUUUUGGUGGUGGUUUUUGUGGUAUUGGGGUUGGUGAUGGUGGUGGUGGUGGUUGUUGUUUUUGGUUUGUAUUUUUGCAUGAGAAAUAGUUGAUAACGUAAAUGAAUGUGUGGAUUUACCUAAGGAUGACCGGAAAAUCCAUCGGAGAGUGGCCGGAGAUGGUGUCAAACGAAGCGGCAGGGAGGAGACGCUCGUGCUUUUAGAAAAUUUGUUUAGAAAAGAAAAUAAAAACAAAUUAUUAAAGUAAAAUUUGAAAAUUAUUUAAGUUAUUAUUAUAAAAACAUAUUGUUAACCAUGGUUAUUGUAGAUAAAUACAAUGGACAUGUGUCAUUCAUUUAGAUGGGUGGGGAUGAAAGUGGGAAAGUAAAGGUGGGGAGCAAAUUUGCAUCCAGAUGUAAAAGAAACAUCGUUUGAAACAUUGACUUUUACUUACUUAUAAUAAAGAAAUUAUAAAGAAGUUGUUGAAAAUACUCUUAUAAAGCUGGGUUUGUCUACUAUGUCUACUAUACAUUAUGUACGGUAUACAUAUUGAAAGAGUGGUCCACUUACUUUUAUAGAAAGCAUCAGGCAUAUAAAGAGCAUCAAUAACAUGAUUUCGUUGUCCUAUACAUGUGUCCGGUUCAUUAUGUAAAGUAAUUAGUGCUCUGUGUUAAAUCCUAGUAAACUGAAUGGUCCCUGCAAAAAUCGUAAGAAUAUGGGUUUGGGGUUUAACGAUAAGAGUUGGAGAUGUGAAACCCAGAUAAAAAGCAAUAGGUUUGCCGUUUACAUGAGUCAAAAUUUUAAAUUCUGGUACGAAUUAUAGAACAAGAGUUUGAGACACUGAAAGCAAGUCUAAAUUCCCUCGAAGGUUUAUAGGGUACAAAUAAUUUAUCCAUACGUUAGCUGCAGCUUGGACCGCAAUCCACUCAUACGAUCAUAUCUAUCCUCGGGCGGCCACGUUUCUGGACUGAAGCCCAGCACCUUGACGUUUGGGGUGAUUCCCUAUAUUAGCAGACUUUGCACCCCCUAAACUUGGACAUUGUUUCUCGACGGCUCGACCCUCCCAGUUGGAGGGCAUCUCCUUAUAUAUGUACAAUUGAUUCGUGACGACUGACGAACAGAAGAGAAUCUAUAGUAUUCUGGAUCAAUUGCACCUAAAGAGAAUUCAUUAUUAACCGAUUCUAGGAAUUUAUAGAAGAGAAAAGGCCAGAAAUGACAACAUGCAUAAUACAAGGAAAGACCACAGCGGUUCGGCCAAACCAAGUAUUAACACGAUCUGAGCUAGAGAGUCAUCUCCCUAGUCAACAAACUCUAAAUCUUCUAAGUACACACAUGGCAAAGGAAAAAAAGACGAUGAAAUAAGAAACAAGCGUGAUCGAGAAAUAUGGCGACGUGGCCCAUGCACGUAUACAUCUGCAUGGUUCUCUAGCUCAUCAAUGGUUGUGACGACCAUGAUGAAGCAAUUUAGCAAGUCCAUGCUCGUGCCGGAUAAUCUUGCUCUUCAAUAUGUCAACCUGUUUCUGGAGAGACUUAUCUAAUUCGUGAAGAUCAUCGAGGAUCUUACGCGGGUUAUCUUGGGAGAAGUCUGCGGGACAAACCUUCAUACCCUUGGAGAGUUCCCCUUUCAAAUCUUCAACUUCAUUGAUCCAGAAAUGUAGUUUCACCGUCUGUUUUUCUAUAACGUCUAUACAGUGGAUGAAAUGUUCCUCUCUCAACUGGUCAAGCCUGGAUUUGACACAUUUGAGCUUGAUAUCGAAACGGUUUUCUUUGCUUCGCAUCAGUGUCUCGACGCGCGGCUAUACAGGGUUUCAAACAGUUCCUUGGCUCCAGGCUUGGGAACCUCAGGUGGGUUGGUGUUUAUCCAUCUGUGGAUGUCUUUCGCCCUGCCGUGAAACAACCCUUUCAACUUUUCCUUGGCACCAGUCUCCCCAGGUUUUGGGUCGGUAGAAUCUAUUGCUACCUUAGCUAGCCAUCCCAGCAUAUCAGUCCUCUCAGGUGGUUGGGGUUUCUUGCCUUGCAGUAUGCCUAGCUGGUCCUGGAGAGAUAUCUCCAGCUUGUGAAGUUGAUUGGACAGGUUGGCUUUUCCGGACGAGCUGGGUUGCUUGGAGUUCUUGGACAGUGAUUCACAAACCGUUAUGAGGCCUCUAAGGGUUUUCUGGAAAGCUUCUACUUCCCUUAUUGAUAGACUGGAAGCCCUUCUAGUGAGGACUUUGUGAGGACUUUUCGGUUUAUGGUUUAAAAGACCCAAUUUUUUAUCACAUUUUGACAUCUUAUCCGUUCAGUUUUUAGGUUUAUAUGAGUAGAUGUAACAUCCCGGACCUAAUUUUACCCUUUUUACUGGGUAUUUUACGAGUUACUGAGGAAUUUAACCGUGCUCGUAAUUUGGUAAUUUAUCACUCGAGUUUAUUGUCGAGUUUUACUCAAAAUGUUAAAUUCCUCUUUUAAGGGUUCGAUAUUGUAGUAUGUGUCGACAUGGGUUCAACGGUGCCUUUAGAUGAUUUAUCGGAGGUUUGGUUAAGUAUAGAAAUUAUAUUUUCGGAAGCAAAUAACGUUUAAUCCGAGCUGUCAUAUCUAUUAGGGCUUUGAACUGGGCCAUAGAAUUUAAGCUUAAAAGGGUAAAGUGGAGCUUGACCCAAUCAAAAACCCAACUCGGGUUUGACCGAGCCUAACCGUCUCCCUCUCUCUUCUCCCUCGUCUCCCUCUGUCGCUGCCUUCUCUAGUGCAGCACUGCCGUCUCUGGCCACCCCUGGCGGCGAGACCACCGCCGUUCUCUCCCUCUCCUCCUCUCCUUUCUAGCCCAGCCCGUGGAUCACGCAAGCGAACCGAAUCAGAGGAGAUCGAAGCUGUCGAACCCGACUGUGUUCGUCGGAUUCCAGCCAGCUCAGGCAGCGACGACGGCAACGAACGGUAGGGUUCUUCUCCUCAGUCCUUCUCCUCUUCUUUCUGUUCCUUUCACCCUUCAAAUCGAGCUCUAAAUUGGAAAUCCCUAAUUCUGCAUUUUUUUUGGGCUUUUCCGGCGAGCUCCUGCGGUGGUUGCCUAUGAGUUUUUCUGACAUCUUCCUUUUGCUUUCCGACGUUGUUUCGACCACAAGUGGUCAAGGCGAGCAUGAAGGGGGAGGGGCCAGGUGUGGUUGUUGCUGUGUUGGAGGAGUUGGUGGACUCAGGUGGGGUUGGUUGUAGUGACAGCUGCGGUUAGGGUUUGAAAAGAAGCCCAGUUUCCGGCACAGAGAAGAUUGCUGGGUUCUGGUGGUGAGCAGAUUAGAGGUAAGGGCAUCGUUUGAUCGGCUGUGUUGUUGUUGUGUUGUUGUUAUGUUGGAUCGUGACUGAUUCUAUGUUUUGGUUGCAAGGAUGUCGAUAACUUGGAAUUUGGAGUAUAUGGAGAAGUUAUGGCAAAAUUCCGGCAAGUGGCCGGAAUCCGACAGAAUAUUCCGGCAAGUCGUCGAAAUCCGGCGAGGGCAGUUAGUCCGACAGAAGCAGUUGAGGUAGUUUUCAAAGUUUUUCCUUUUUGUUUUGCGUUGUUUCAUAAAUAGGAAAGUUUGUCGGUUUAUAAUCGGAAAUCUUUCUAAGUGAGGAAAGUUCCUAUUUUGAGAAACUUUUCCUUUUUAGAAACUUCCUAUUUAUGGAAACCCUUUUUGGGUGCUCUUAGUAAAUUUUGGGGUGAAGUUGUGUAGAGAGGAAAUGAAGGAAAUUCUUGGUUUUGUUUGUGAGCAUGUUUGAUCGUAGGGGAUCAUAAAAUAAUUUGUGAGCAUGUUUGAUCGUAGGGGAUCAUAAAAUAAUUUUGGAAGUAUUUUGGUUAAUGUGUUAAGGCAUGAAAAUUGAUGGUGACUUUGAUUCCAGGUUAAGGUUCAUUCUGAAUAAGUUAUAGUUGCGAAGUUUAGUCGGAAUUGAUUAUUAAUAUAUGUUGGUCAAUCCUGGUCAACCCAGGAUACUUAGUCAAUUUAAGAAGAAGUCGAAUCAAGAUUAUUUCAGAAUCCGUUUUGACCGAUUUAUUCUGCUGUUUAUCAUCAGACGUGGGAUUGACUCGAGAUUGUGAAUAGUGGAGGCAGCGCUCGAGGAGUAUGCUGAGCAUUGGAAGACUUAGGCCUAAUACUGUGAGUGGACUUUUGUUUUAAAUAAUAUGCAUGCUAUGGUUCAUGGUCGAACAUUUAAAUUGUUUGAGUUUUGACGUCAUUUAAUUUUGACGCUUUUAUUUCUCUUGGAGAGUUACCGAAAAAUAUAUUGAGGAGAGUAUGUAUAUAAAUGCUAGCUAGCCAUAUGUGUCUGUCCACCUUAAUGGCGUAGCAUAUAGCCGCAUUAUGGUGUGACGUGAGCGUUGGACGUGAGCGUAGUAGCCUUAUAUGAGUGUUUAAUUCAUUUAGGGGGUAUGGACACAUAUUUAUACACUCGUCUGUCCACCUUAAUGGCGUAAUGUAGCACCGUAUUAAGGCGUGACGUGAGCGUGGGACUCGAGCGUAGUAGCCCUAUAUAGACCCAUGAAUUUAUAUAGGGAGUAUGGACGUGUGUAAAUACAUACAUAUAUUUUAGAGCCUGAGAGGCUCGAUAUUAUGAGAUGAAAGUUUUAUCGCUUGCAGCAUGCAUUCGAUUUUUCCUUGGAAAUUGAUUUGGGGAAACAUAAAUAUUUUAUUUAUUAAUUUAUUUUUGUCCACUCACUUUAAUGUUUGCAAAUGUUUUCCUCUGGGCCCUUCGUUUUAAAAAUGCCCAGUUUGCAGGUUAGUAUAGUUGAGGUCGGGCGUACAUGGAGACGAGGCAUAGUCAAUAGUAUAGCUUCUGCUCAUCUAUAUGCUUCUGUCUCUUUUUCUUCACUAUUAGAAUGACUCUGAAUCUAUAAGUGGUUGGUUUUAAUAUUAUUUAUUUAUUUUUAGAUUAGUGAUUUAUUUGGGAGAUGUUGUGAAUUUGGGGAGCCUUCGAAGGCUCUAGGAGUUUAAGGUUGGAUUUAGAUUUUCAGAAGUGCGUGCAGGUGUUUUAGGAAGGGUUGUCCAUUUUCAAGGAAAGUUUUAUUGAUUUUUCGGUAGAAUCUCUUUUGGAGGUGGUCCCCGCAGGGUUUACCUCGGGUUUCAGGGUGAAAUUCGGGGUGGGUCCUGACAGUAGAUCAUUUCUACAAAUUUUCACCCAAAUUGUUGUUCGUUAAGAUAACAAACUAGAUCAAAUUAAUGGACGAACCAAAUCUGUUAAAUAUGAACCGUUCAAGUUCAUAAUUGAUAAAUCACACUUAUGAAUGUCUUAACAAUUUUCAAUAUAGUUGAAAAUUUAAAUAAAUGAUCUAUUCAUAAAUACCUAUAAACUGAACGGUCAAGAUGUAGAUAUAAGAUCGAAAUGUGGGAUAAGCCGAAAAGUCCUCACCAAGUCCUCAACUUAAGGGUCCUCACUAGAAGGGCUCACUUGAUAGACUUAAACUGAAGUUUUCUACCGUCAUUUUUAACGGUGUGACCACAGAUUGUAAUUGGUCGAGCAGUGAAAUAAUGCCAUUCAGCUCCCCUUUGAAAUCACGCCCGUGCUUCUCCAUCAGUUUUUCCACGCACUUUGUCAGUUUCUUGAGAUUAUCCUCGGCCCCUUCAAUCGCCUUAUUUGCAUCCAUUCUUGAUUGAUUUGCUUACAAACAACAAAUUAAAACUCAAUGACAACUAAACUGGUUAGUCAAAAAUCAGAAAAUUCAAAAGAUUUCAAUACAAGUGUAUUAAGAAACUGUAUGGAAGAUAACUGAAGGGACUUUAAAAGCCAACAGUUAUCCAGACUCAAUUCUCUCCCAACAUUCAAACUUUGUAUAUCCAAAAGAGUGGGAAACCCGGCUAUAUAUAGACUGCAAGCUAGUCUGCAACUCCAUUGAUUUAGCUAGCAUAAACAUACCAGUAACUAGUAGCUUCGUUGUUCUUUCCUCUGCAGAUAAUUGAUUAACUUAAAAAAAGGAGACCUCCAGCAGAUCGAAGAGGAUAAAGACUUGGACCCUAUAGUCUACUUUCUGGAAGUUCAUAACUAUUUGGACCUGAUAAUGGUAUCGAUUCUUUUUUAUUUGGAAAGGUAAUAAUGGCAGCUUCUAGCUUCUUCUUCUUCCUCCGCCACCACCACGUCCUUCGGCGAGAUCAAUCCGGCAAAACAAAAAAACAAAACUGAAAAACAAAAUAAAACUAAAAAACAAAAUAAAAAAGAAACUGCAAAAUAAUAAUUUUUUAUUUAAAUUACAACAUUUUUUAUUAAAAAUGAAAAUCAAAUUAAAUUAAUUAAAAUAUUAUUUUUUAUAUAUUGAAAACACUUAAGUGACGAAAUAUUUCGUCGGUUAAGUUGGAAAUGUUCGUCGCAUAAGUCUAUGCGACGAAUUUUUUUUCGUCGCUUAGGAGGCACUUAUGCGACGAAAUCUCUGUUCGUCGCUUAAGUAGUUUAGCGACGAAACGUAAUUCGUCGCUUAAGAGGAACAUAAGCGACGAAAAAUGUAUUUUCGUCGCUAGGUACCUAUGCGACACCACCUAAGCGACGACUCUUAAGCGACGAAAUUUCACUCUUAAGCGACGAAAUCAUUUCGUCACAUAAGUCCUAACUUCUAGUAGUGGCAUUGUUUACUGAACCUAAGAUUGGUUUGUUGUGUUACUCGCGCUCUAAUCCAAAAUAGUAAUCGCUCCUGGUGGCUCGUACAUGUUUUAAAAUACAACUAACUAGUGACAUUCGAACCAAAACUCAGAAGCAUCGGCCGGCUUGUUGUUUUGAUCGUAUUAUGCAUUUCUGUUGGGAUCCAGUCCAUACGAGGCCCAACUUACUCUUAACCCAUUUCCUCAACAACUCACAAGACACACAUUGCAGUGCCAGUACUACUGCCAUAAGGCUCUGCCUCACAACGGCAACCUAUGUUUUGGCUUCUCCUUAAAAUAGCUGUUAGCUUGUCUCUUAUGUAAGUGGUGGAUAUGUAAGCCACGUGUCUACUUUUGUGAGAGCAUGAGCUCCUCCUUUUAUGUAGUUGCAGUACUCCAGUUUGGGGACAUGAAAUGAAUCAAGUCUUAUUUUAGUUAUUUUUCAUCCCCUUUCGUUUAAGCUCUAAGAAUUUCUUGGAAGGAUCGAGCGACGAAUACAUUGUGACGUUCGCAAGCUGACGCCAUAACAACUACAUGCAAACCCAGUAAUCAGACACUUCAUUAUGAAUCAUCGGAACAUGAUUCUUUAUUUCCGAAACCUUAAAAAUACAUAACCAUAGGAAAGGAGACUCGAUCGACCAAAACUCCUAUUACGAACAAAGUUUAUCAGCAGCUACCAUACCACCUACGUAUCAAAAGAAUCAGCAGCUGGUCACCACCUACCAUUUAAAUGGUUUCAGCAGUCAUGAGCCAUCCUUCGGCUAAUGGGAAUAUAUGAGUGGUCUUCAACAUUACAUGUAUUGCUACUACGUACGUACCCAUCCUGCAAGUAGUGUGUCCAGACUUGACCACAAUGAACGAGUCCACAACAAUCUCUCUUUUGUAUGCUUAUUCACAUAUCGGAAAAAUAAUUAUAUUACAUGAAGAGAAACUAAACCAUAUCUCACGGCCAACAUCAAUAGAAACAGAAGAAGACCUACACAUUCGCUCCAUUAUAAGUGGAGCCAAAUCUCACCAAGCUGAGUCCGAGAGAAUAGUUUCAACUUUCAACGUUUAGCUACAAAACAUGCAGCUUCAUCCUCUUCACAGAAUAUUGUUACACACAUAAAUGGGAGAAGCGAUAUUUAUGGCAUUGUCCAUCUCAUAUGACAUAGAGACGUCUACAUGGGAUAGAACUACAUACAUAAAUUUAUAGACUAUAUAUGAGGAAGACAACAGUGAAUUAAGCAUAUGGUAUAGGAUAGACCACUUUACAUAUAACUGGCUAGCUGAUCGAUCUGUAAGGUCCAGAGUCCAGAAUUCGCACAAGAAUACGGCCGUGAGCUACUCAACCUUCUUGUCCUUAUAAUUCUCAUUAGUGACUGUCACCUUGUUCUUUAUAUUCUUGACAACCUUUUCAUCCACCAUGUCAUGGUAUCUUCUUGCCUGUGCCUUCACCCACUCCUCGCUCCUCUUCAGAUUUUCCUUGUACCUCACAUAUAUUACGGGAAUAGUCAUGCCCAUAACAACACCUGCACAUUAUAACAUCCAAAACCAAAUAUCAAACAUACAUAUCAUAUACUAACUGGCCUACCGCAACAAGUACCACAUUCGAUCCAUAAGAACAUUUAGCCAGCUUCAAGAUUUUGAGGGGUAUAUACAUGAUUCACCUGUGCUAUAAAUAUCACUAAUUUCGCUCCAUUUUCAACCUGUAUCUGAACUUGAAAAGGAAUGAAUGAGAACGUUCCUAAAUGUUAUGUGUUGUAAUGUGUUCCAUUAACACAAUUACAUCUCAUUCUCACUUUCACCUGGAUGGCCACAUGUUUUGAAAAUCUUGAUAUAAUCUAUAUAUGCCGAAUCCAUGCUAAUUAAACUUUAAUUACUUGCAGCUAUUUAUGCUCAAUUUUUUUAAAUUGAAUAUAUAUAUAUAUAUAAUGUUGAUCAGUUGCGGAACGUCCGCACCAAAAUUUUGGUGCGGAUUUCUAUUUUUGCACCACUUCCCGAUCAAAUUUUCUCAAACUUCUUUUUAGACAUAUCUAGAUCAUCUUGUGUAGNNNNNNNNNNNNNNNNNNNNNNNNNNNNNNNNNNNNNNNNNNNNNNNNNNNNNNNNNNNNNNNNNNNNNNNNNNNNNNNNNNNNNNNNNNNNNNNNNNNNNNNNNNNNNNNNNNNNNNNNNNNNNNNNNNNNNNNNNNNNNNNNNNNNNNNNNNNNNNNNNNNNNNNNNNNNNNNNNNNNNNNNNNNNNNNNNNNNNNNNNNNNNNNNNNNNNNNNNNNNNNNNNNNNNNNNNNNNNNNNNNNNNNNNNNNNNNNNNNNNNNNNNNNNNNNNNNNNNNNNNNNNNNNNNNNNNNNNNNNNNNNNNNNNNNNNNNNNNNNNNNNNNNNNNNNNNNNNNNNNNNNNNNNNNNNNNNNNNNNNNNNNNNNNNNNNNNNNNNNNNNNNNNNNNNNNNNNNNNNNNNNNNNNNNNNNNNNNNNNNNNNNNNNNNNNNNNNNNNNNNNNNNNNNNNNNNNNNNNNNNNNNNNNNNNNNNNNNNNNNNNNNNNNNNNNNNNNNNNNNNNNNNNNNNNNNNNNNNNNNNNNNNNNNNNNNNNNNNNNNNNNNNNNNNNNNNNNNNNNNNNNNNNNNNNNNNNNNNNNNNNNNNNNNNNNNNNNNNNNNNNNNNNNNNNNNNNNNNNNNAUAUAUAUAUAUAUAUGUUAAUUCAUCAAACACUAACCACUGUACUCUUUACUUUCUUUAGUUGUUACCUGUAUAAAGAAAGGUUAGCAGAUCAACGUAUCCCCCUACACGAGAGAGUAACCACAAACCAGCGGCGGUCCCGGCAAACACAAACCACUCUCUCUCGGCAGCCACCCAAAACAUCCAUCGAAUUCCUUCUUCAAUCCACGCUCGAAUGCUAUUCGCAGUCCUCAAAGCUGUCUCCUCUGUUACCUCCAACAUUCCAUACAAGUUUGGAGGUUCUCUACAAACACGAAAUUGAAUAAAACAAAACUAAUACUCGAACUAUUAUCAUGCAUAACACCAAGUAAAGAAAACAAAGAGAAACAAAAAUAUUGGAAAGCAGGGGAGCUUGAUUAGUUACUUGUUAAAGAACCUAAGCAUGUUGGCCCAGAGGAACAGAGAAGUAACAACAAACAUGGCCGCCCAUGAAAUUACAGUAAGGAAGUUGAAGAGAUAGACUUUGAGCAAAACCCAUGUUGCUGUUGCUAUCGAAAGAAGAAGCACACUCUGUUUCUUCUUCUUCCAUAAGAAUAUAUCUCUUACGGAAUCUGCACCAAAUUCGAAAUCAGAUAUGAGUCUGCUAACCUAAUUAGACAUUCAACUGGUUCAAGUUUCAGGAGCUUACAGAUUAGUUACCUGAACUUGGCAGGGCCGAUCGAUAGGUUUGAUCUGUUUCAGACAUGUUGCGACUAGAACACACUGAGCUGAAAAUGAUGAAUUAUACACUAUUUCUGAUCGAGAUUAUGCUUACACGUAGAGACCCGAUGCAUAGGAACGUGGAAACCAUGCAAGCCUUCAUGUACGUGUAGCUCGGGCAUGGGAUUAGGAUAUAUAUCAGAGAUCAGAUAUGGGGGAUAAGCAUUAUCGUUUUCUAGGCCCAAAUAACAACUUAUGACCCAACCCAAAUUAGUCCAAAAGGCAAUUAGUGCAUUAUUUUUUUCUUACUAGAGCCUAUUGAGCUUUCAUCAUUGUUCUUCAUCCAUGCUGCUUCAAACAGUUGGAGCACUUUUCUUUCUAUCACCAUGAAGCAUCAUAAUUGGAAUCCCACUCAUAGCCUCAACCAAUUUCUCUCAUGAUUUUCUCUCUUUGGCAUGAACUCUUUUAUGAUUGGCAUGCACUGUCAUAGAAGCUUGAGGAACAACCAAGUCCUAUAUCAUCGAAUCUGUUCCAAACCCUCAAUAGUGGUACCAGCAAAUCCCUAAUGUUCUCUUCCUCCUCAUUCAGCCAAGACUGUGAACUGUCCAGUGGUACCUAAUUUCUCCAUAUUGUAUAAUAAGGUCAAAAGCAAACCCAGGCCCAUGUAUGCAAGCAUUUACUGGACAUCACAUGGAUAACAUUAUUAAUGGGCCCUGCCUGUUUUCAACUCUCUCACAUUUUUCUAUUAUUGCAUUUAGAGAAUCUCACAGAAAUUUAUAUAAUUUGACUGGAUAACAAGAAAGUCAACAUUACCAGGCAGUGUUAUUUGAUGAACUUAAAGAAUGAGAGGAUUAUUAACAGUCGGAUUAGUUUACCCGAUCCUAGGCGUUUACAAAGAGAAGCAUCAGUGAAUAGUGAAUAGUCCUCCCCUCUAAAACUCUAUGAUCCCGUCGGUGCUCUCCUCCUGUCCCCUCAACUAGUCAUUUUCAUACAGGAGAAACCAGAGCACCAGCUGACUAGCAAAGAAUUUAGUGUUAAACACUUAAACCCUGCAUUAUCAUUCAGCUCGAACCUGGGGAGGUCAGGCAAUGAUUCAGAAACGAAGCUUCGAGUGAUGGAAGCCUAGCCCUGCUGGGUUUGCAGCUAAACGAAAUCAUGAGCUGGAUUCGGUUAGAGGUAGCAAUAUAUAUACGGCAUCCAACUAUGUCAUACACAUGCUUGCCUCAUAAUGCUCGCCUUGUUGAUAAAAGCAAAAUCUGUUCGCAAAGCAAGGUAAGGCAAGACAAAGUUUGAUCCCAUGAAAGCUUUAAAUGGCAUUGGGAUGCAUGCAAGGCAGGAUCUUGGAUUCUAGAUGCCUCAACUAGCUUGAUACUAGCUCAAUUGGUUGACUGCUUCUCUUUGCUAUGCUGUCAUUGCCAAAUUACCUUAAACAGCUACUUAAUAGGCGAACAAAACAAACUGGUGUGUGAACUUUUUCAUCUCAAUCAACUUAAAAAAUAAAGUUCAUGAAUAUUUGAUUUAUACAUCUUACAUCUUAUUCGUUUUUAAAUACUUUAAACCGUAUUUCUAAUGAAACGCACAAAAACAUAUCAAACGAUCGGAUAGUUAUAUUGACUUUCUUGCAUUAUAGACGUUGUUGCAAGACUCACAUUCUGCCUAUGGUGUUACUAUAUAUGUGUACUAAUAGGUCAUUUGUGGCAAUUGAUAUACAAAUUCGGUAACCUUGGACCUUCACAUUAUCGAUAACCUGCCCCAAUAUUGAUGAUUGAUCCACAAAAGAAAACAAAAGAGGUCAAGUAGUUGUGGUUGGUGGUUAACAGAACUACAGAAGGCUCGUGGAUAACAUAAGAAGCUUUCUUUGGUCAUCAAAUUGUUUAUAUGUUUCUGCGUUACAGCCUUGCAGGCUUAGCAACAACAGCUAGUUCCGAGGUCACAGAAUACCUUAUCGAAAAUGCUAGAGACCAAUGGUGACCAGACAUUUCCAUCUGCUGUGGCAUGUGAUACCAUUUACUAGAUUCAUUUCCUUUACAAAACUACAAAAACCCAGCAACCAAAAAAACUAGCUUACAUUUACUUCCUUGAACAACCUAUAAUUGUUCCACAAAAUGUGAAAACCCUAAAUCUUAGUACAUGAAAAGAGGAAUCAGUCAAAAAAUGAACAAGUAAAGCAAACAUAAAAGAAGCAGCAAAAGGAACUAAAUUUCAGCAUCAAUGGCGCAAUUAGAGGCGGGGUUAUAGUCCUAAUUUACUUUUACUCAUGAAUGAUGGAUUAAAUUGCUUUCCUUCUAAGCAAUUAUCAUAGCUCCAAAACGCGUAUAGCCUCCCCAUCCACAAGUAGAGCAUUGCUGUAGUUUUUCAAAAGCACUUUUGCAGUUUUCCUCUAUAAAAAAGCACUAAUGUAAUCAUAGGACAUAUUUGGUGAAGCACUUUUUUCCCGCGCUGCUGCUAUAAAAGCUCUCACUAACUCAUUGCUACUCCAUUUAUUGUGGCCCAGAGAAAAACAAAGAGAGAUAGAGAAACCCAGAAUCUGAGGUUUUGUGAGGUUUGGCAUUUUUGCAGGGACAAUGGGGAAAGCAGUCUUGCUUCAACUGCUGUUUGGGGCUUUGGCUGUUGUGUUAAGCGCUUCUGUGGUGAAAGCAGAGGACCCUUAUAAGUUCUACACCUGGACUGUGACUUAUGGGACUCUUUCUCCUCUGGGUGUUCCCCAACAGGUUGGUUUCAAAUCUCAGUUGCCAUUUUUUGUACUGUCAGUUCUGGUUUUGGAUUGUUUGGGAUUCUAAAGAUUGGAUCUUUGUGAUGUAUGAAGGUGAUACUUAUCAAUGGUCAAUUUCCUGGGCCUAGACUUGAUGUGGUGACCAAUGACAACAUCAUCCUCAACCUCAUUAACAAGCUGGACCAGCCUUUUCUGCUAACAUGGUCAGUUCACUAUUUUCCAAAUCCAAUCUCAAUUUUGUCAAAAUGCCUUGCUUUUUAGUGUUAAUGAUUUUCCCAUUCUUUUAUCUCUUUUUUUUUUUUCGGAUUUCCUUGAAGAAUUUACUUUUAAAGCAUGAAGCUUUGAGCCAUUGGGGCUUUUCUAGCAGUAAUUAAGUGAGAAGAAUCAUAAUGUUGGUUCAAUAUUGAGAUAAAGAAUUGCUGGUGGUGUUAAAGGCAUGUUUUUGCUUGAAUCUUUAAUAAGCUUGUAGAAUUUUAGGACAGUUGGAUAUGAAAUUAACCCAGAUGACUGCAUAAGGCUUCCUUGAGUAAUGUAGGUAACUUUUCCUUUAGGAUUACACAGAAAUGGAUGAAAAAGUUGGAUUGUUAUUCACAGAAUUUUCUAGUCUGUUCUUUCUUGCAUUCUUUGCGUAUUUGUUUGAUUGUAACAUUCAGCGUAAUAAGAAAUUUGCUUGGCUGCAACCAGGAAUGGGAUUAAGCAGAGGAAAAACUCAUGGCAGGAUGGGGUAUUGGGAACCAAUUGCCCCAUCCCUCCAAACUCAAACUAUACCUACAAAUUUCAGCCCAAGGAUCAGAUAGGUACCUUCACAUAUUUUCCAUCAACUAAAUUGCACAGAGCUGCCGGAGGGUUUGGAGGUCUCAAUGUCUACUCGAGACCUAGAAUUCCAAUCCCAUAUCCAAUCCCUGAGAGUGAUUUCACUUUACUUGUUGGUGAUUGGUACAAGGCCAGCCAUCAGGUAAGAAAAGCAUCAUUGAUAAAUGUCAUUCUAUAAGUGAUGAUGUUACAAUGUUGCAGUCUACGUGUUUGAUCAAAGGUUCUUCAUGUUUCAUUAAGUCAUUAUAUUGUUUAUCAUAUUGUUUUUGUGUUUACAGGCAUUGCAGAAAUCAUUGGACUCAGGGAAGUCUCUUCCAUACCCCAACGGUCUUCUUAUAAAUGGCCAGGCUAGUUCUACCUUCACUGGUGAUCAAGGUAGCCUUAUGAACACUUUAAUUAGAUCAAAUUUAGUUGGUUAACCUUCUCUCCAAAUGAAAGUGUUUAACUGUGUUUUCAUCGUUAUGAGUUCAGGCAAAACAUACAUGUUUAGGGUCUCAAAUGUGGGAUUGUCAACCUCAUUAAACUUCAGAAUCCAGGGCCAUAAAAUGAAGCUAGUUGAAUGUGAAGGAUCUCACACACAACAGAACAUAUAUGACUCUCUUGACGUGCAUGUUGGCCAAUCUUUUUCCGUUCUACUUACCUUAGAUCAGCCUCCAAAGGAUUACUACAUAGUGACAUCCACCCGAUUCACUAGGCGUGUUCUUACAGCCACUGCUGUACUACACUACUCGAACUCUCACACUUCGGUUUCUGGACCUGUACCUGCUGGUCCUAGAUACCAAUUUCACUGGUCUAUGCAGCAGGCCAGAACUUUCAGGUAUACAUAAGAAGAGAUUAAAACAUGAUGAGCCUCACAUUUGCUGGAAAUUAAAUAGUGAUGGUUUAGUUUGAUGGUUUUCAACUUGGUUUUUGUUGCAGGUGGAAUUUGACAGCAAACGCAGCCAGGCCUAACCCUCAGGGCUCAUACCAUUAUGGACAGAUAGUACCAACAAAGACAAUUGUAUUGGCCAGUUCAGCACCUUUAAUAAAUGGAACUCUGCGUUACGCAUUUAACCGAGUCUCCUACGUUAACCCUGACACACCAUUAAAGCUUGCUGAUUACUUUAACAUCCCUGGAGUCUUCAGCUUUGAUGCCAUCCAAUCCGUUCCCUCCGGCGGCCCUGCAAUCUUAGCUACACCUGUGUUGCCAUCCUCACACCAUGACUUCCUUGAAAUUGUUUUCCAAAACAAUGAAAGGACUAUGCAAUCUGUGCAUCUAGAUGGUUAUGAUUUCUGGCCUGUUGGGUAUGUAAAAUGUGCUUUCUUGUGUUUAUACUUUUUCAGAUGUGUGUCUGUGUGUGUAGAUUAAUGGACUUUAUAGACUGACCUUCUCUAUUGUUUGAACAAUUACAGCUAUGGUUCUGGACAGUGGCAACCAGCAAAGAGAAGAACCUACAAUCUAGUUGAUGCUCUAACUAGACAUACAGUUCAGGUAUUUAGCUUUGGUUGCUCUUUUACUUGGACACUUUAGAUUGCUUUGCUUUUCGGUGAGAUUAAAAAUGCAUUUUCUACGUUCUUAAAGGUUUUUCCAAACUCUUGGAGUACCAUAUUGGUGUCAUUAGACAACCAAGGAAUGUGGAACUUGAGGUCAGCUCUAUGGGAAAGGCAGUAUCUUGGGCAACAGCUCUAUCUCAGGGUUUGGAAUCCAACCCAAAACCUUGCUAAUGAAUACAACAUUCCUUCAAACGCUCUUAUGUGUGGAAAAGCUGUAGGACGACACCCUUAGGAUUGAUUAUGGUAAUUCUACAGUGUCUGGUUCUUGAGUCAUGAAGGUUUGACUGAAGUGAGGACAAAUUUGAGAAGAUAAAUUAAAGAAGAAGAUUCAUUUAACGUUUAUUUCCUCAGUUGUAUCUGAAUUUAGAUGAACUUAAUUUUCUUAUCAUUUUACCAAAAAUGAUUGUAUGAGCUAGUUAUAUAAAUCUCUAUAGAAAUCUGAGGUCAGAAGUUUGCUCAAUUUUUCCUUCCCUUUAGUUUGCUCAAUGUUUCUUUCACUACGAUUCAUCAUCACUGGUAUUAAGGGUCAAAAAGCAGCCAUCAAUGGUCGAAAGUGUGUGGACUGAUUCUAAUUCUAAUAACCAAAUUGACUGGGACACGGACUGUUACAGAUUCGGUCAAGAGGAAGAAACCUAUAAUAUUGUAGCCGCUCAUGGUUAUUUUGGCCGAUUGAUCAUUAUCAUGGGAAUUCGAAACUGAUUUCUGUUCUUUAAAAGAUGAUGUCUUCAGCACAAGUUUGAUUAAUCAGUAGCAAAGUUCAGAUAGCUAAAUGAGGGAGCACUGCUAGAUAAUUAACCUGUAGAACCCGGCCCUCAAGCAUAGCUACUCGCUCCAUUAGCGUGCCUUUACAAUGUACUUCAAUUGCAGAUGACAGAGGCUUGAAGGAUUCACGAUCUUGUGCAAGAUCAUUGCUUUCACAGGCAGGAGUAGUACCAGAACUAGAGGAAUGCUUGGAUGACAAGCAAUGCUUCUCUUUCAGAAACUGCUGCAGCAUCAUCAAAAUAUCAGUGUUCUAAAAAUCGGUCACCCAACCCGCCUAGGCGGCAGUAGACCUUGGAGAGGAACGACAAAUCGACACUCCUAGGCGGAAGAGCCUUUAGGAGGCAUCUAGGCAGUCUAGGCGACUUUUGGGCGGGUCUAGGCGGCCUCUGGGCGGCUCUAAGUGGGUCAAGGCAGUUCUGUCGUGGGUCUAGGCGGCCUUUAGGAGAGUCUACGUGGGUCUAGGCGACCACUAGACGGCUCUAGGCGGGUCUAAGUGGCCUCUGAGCGGCUCUAGUGGGUCUAGAUGGCCUCUGGCAUAGGCGGCUCUAGGCGCCCUCUAGGCGAGUCUAGGCGCCCUCUGAGCGGCUCUAGGCGGGUCUAGACGGCCUCUGGCAUGGGCGGCUCUAGGCGGGUCUAGGCAAGUCUAGCGGCCUAUGGACGGGUUUAGGCGGCCUCUAGGCGACCUUUAGUAAUCGCCCUAUGACUAGAGAGUUCACUAAAGGAAAAUUUUCAUUGUUACAGUCUUAUAAACCUAAAGAAGUUUAGCUGAAUAAUUAACGAAAGAGUUGAACAAAAACCUCCUAUUCUCAAAACAACAAACUCCAUUCCCACUUGAUGAAACCUUCAAGCAACUUGCUCCAGCUCCAAGGAAGAAUAAUAAUUAGAAGAUCCAACUUUUAGUUGUAGCCAAACAGACUUCUAGUGAAGCCCGAUCUUAACUUCAACAGUCCCCAAAUUAGCUGAAUUCAAUAAAGGAAAGAGUAAAAAAAAAAUGGUUGAAUCACUUGAAAUCUUGAAUGCCAUUGAUCAAAGCCCUGAAAACAACUAUUCGAAAAGAUCGAGAAGAAAGUUGAACCGCUACCCUUGAGAAUCAGUGGACUUAAACAGCUAGCUCUUGGCACAAAGUACCAACCUAUCAGUACCUGUGGACAAUUAGAGACAUGCAUGGAGAACACGGGAGUAACACUACUAUUUUCUGGGCGCAAAACUACGUGGUAGCAAGGAAUGUUGAAGAACCAUGAAAGAAACAAUAUUAUUGGACUUCACUCAAUCAAAAUCCUACUGAGAGCCACAUGAUGAGAAUUUAAUUUCACGUGUGUUGGAAUUGAAUUCAACGUGCCAUGUGUGUAUAAUUUACUCCUGCUGUUCCCUGGAAUUACCUAAAUAUUUUCCCCAGAGAAACUAUUCAACUAAGAGGAUCUUGAUUUUCCCAAUAUGAGAUCUCUCCUUGGAUCCAUCAUCCACUGCCAUUUCUUACUCUAAUAAUUGACUUGCACUUCAAUAAAGCUCCUCAUUGACCUCAAAUUAACUUGUGGUACUGCUAGCUAGUACGUACUAUACUACUACCAGCUAGGAGAGUAGAAGAGUGUUCAUACUUGGAAGAUCUAAGAUCUUAGUCACAUGCAAUUUGUAUAUGUGGACUCUUCAAAAAAAAAUUUGUAUAUGUGGACAAUGUAGUAACUAAGCUAUUAUGGCAAACUUUGUAGACUCCUACAUUAUAUUCUCUGCUUAGUGUGCUUACUGCUUAACCAUUGUAUGUGACUUAAUGGUUAUUGCCUACAUGGGUUUGCUCCCCAUCAUAUCCUACAUUCAAACUCUGAAACUCUAGAGUGAUCAUACAUUGUGUUGUAAUGCGUAGCCGGAGCAUUUCGCAUGUGUUGAGAGAUUGACUUCUAAUCUGAAAAACUAUUGUAAGAAAACACCAGUCGGCUUAUGCAUACAACUAUAUUAUGAUCAUGAACCUGAAUUCUUUUAUGCACUUCUUUGUGACCUAGCAACUAUCAAGUGGUCUCAACUCUACAUUCAUUGUUAACAUUUCUCUUUAAUAAUGUUCAGCCCUCCAUGCGUGUUGAUGCAAGCAUUACUUGGGCUGAUUGGGCUCUAAAUACUUUCACGGUUAUGAAAUUCGAACUUAAAAUUUCCAUUUGUAGAAAAAAAAAAAAAAAAAAAAAAAAAGAAACAAUGAUUUUUUCAGAAAAAUAAAAACAAAAAAGAAGAAAAGAAAGACUUAUGAUGGGUUAUGCUAAGUAUUUCAAAGGCCCAAAUAGAAAAUUGCUUUUAGCAGCAAUUCUGUGGUACAUUCGAGGCUGAAGAGGCCCAACUUGCACAGUUCCAGACUACCAGAAUUCCAGAAACUGUCAACGGCCAACAUGGCGGGAAAGAAGAGCGGACUUGAAGACGAUGAAGAAGAAACAGAGACCAUCACAAAAAUUACCACACUGCCCCUCCAUUGUCUUCGCUUAAUCGCUUUCCUUUCUGCUUUCAUGUGAGGGAGAUCUAAAACCACAUUUAAUUCACACAAUCCGCCAUUAAUAUCUAGAUAAACUAAUUUAACAACGAUCCGUUCUCGCCUGCGCAGCUCCCGCUUGCUUCAAUCUAAUCCCUUUUCCCGCCACCGCGCACCACCGACGAGUCCAGGUCGCCCCGCGUCACGUACACACUACACUUUCACUAGCUGCUACUUCAUUUCAUUGGUCGGUUUUCCAGAGUUCAAGAUUUGGAUCCCCAUUAGUCAAGUUGAAAUAUUAAAUAUUAAUUCGAAUUUUUGAGUUAAGUUUAGUUAAAUUGGUUGCAUAUGCAGGUAGCUGACUGCUACUGAAACCAUGAAGUGCGGCGCCAAUGAGCUUCGAUUCUUCCUCGGUCCUCGCAUCCGCGCUGGCUGCAGUCUCGGCCAUUUAUAUAAGCACCAGGUGUUCGAUCAUUCGUCACACUCAACCACAUUGCACCACUUCUAUCGUGCACCUUCAAUUUUCCUCGUCUCUUCGGGGAAUUGGCGCUUCGAUAAGUACGUAUCCUGCUCUUCUCUUGAUCAGCUCACGGAUAGAAACCUCCUAUACGAUGUAAUUUUUAUCAUUUGAUGUUAAAUUAGCUUCUGUAUCGACGUGUUGUUGUUUUGCUCAGAGAAGUUGAAACUUAAAUAGGAGCUCAUACAAUGAGGCCAACCUCUUUCCUGCGUUUUUUUCUUGGAACAUUGGUUGGCUUGAGUGCUUUGUGCAUCAUCAAUGCAGAAGACCCUUAUAGAUAUUUUACAUGGACAGUUACAUACGGAACCAUUUCUCCAUUGGGUGUUCCUCAACAGGUAAUUGUCUUUUGAUCUAACACAGUUAUAAGGUGCUAUCGAGUUCUGCAGUUUUUCUACUUGUAAGUUGGUUACUUGUGGUUGAUGUAUAACUCUGUGUUACUCAAAUUUUACAGGCUAUACUUAUUAACGGUCAAUUUCCUGGCCCAACAAUUGAGGCUGUGACUAAUGACAACAUAGUCGUUGAUGUCAUUAACAAGUUGGAUGAACCUUUCCUCAUUACAUGGUCAGUACUUCUGUUGGAAGUUUUGAUGUUUGGAAAUUCAGAAACUUUGUGUUAAGCUACUCAUAUGCUUUACUUUUUGAUCUCGGUGUUAAAUUAGGAAUGGAAUUAAACAGAGGAAGUCAGUAUGGCAAGAUGGAGUCCUCGGAACCAAUUGCCCGAUUCCUCCAAACACAAGCUGGAGAUACAAGUUUCAAACAAAGGAUCAGAUUGGAACAUUCAGUUACUUCCCUUCAACGAAAUUUCACAGAGUUGCUGGUGGUUUUGGGGGUUUCAAUGUUGCACACAGGUCUGUGAUAGCAGUCCCAUAUCCUAUCCCCACUGAAGAGUUUACCGUUCUUGUUAGUGAUUGGUACAAGACCAGCCACAAGGUAAUGUAUACAUUCAACAACAUUAAUCAAUCUAGAUUAUUAAUCGGAAGGGUUUGAAAAAUGUGGUCGAGAUUCACAAUAUAUAAUAAUGUACUUCACUCUGACAAUGGAAUAUUACAUCGAGCUCUAUGUAUGUAGUUACCUUUUUUAAAAAAUUAAAAAAUUAAAAAAAUUAUUAAAUAACUCACACACCCCUUACAUAUAUUAGUGAGGUUUGAACUCAUGACCUCAAAGUUGUAGUUAAACAUCUUAACUAACCAAACCACAGUUCACCGACAAAAAAUUAUUAAUAACUCACACACACUACAUAUGUCCGUGAGGUUUGAACCAAUAACCUUAAAGUUGUCAGUUAAACAUAUUAACCAACCAAGCCACGGCUCACAAAUAAAAAUUUUAACUAACCAAACCAUGGUUCAUCGAGCUCUAUGUAUGUAGUUACCUUUUUAGCAACUAUAUAUAUAAAAGUAGAUGACUGUUCUGAUAUGUGUGCUUAUGUUACAGGCAUUGCAGCAGAAAUUGGAUUCUGGCAUUCCUCUUCCUCUCCCUGAUGCUCUACUUAUAAAUGGACUUCAUGGAUCUGCAACCUUCUCUGGUCAAAGAGGUAACAUCAGGCAUAAACCCCUCCAUAAUUUGUUUGGGAUACCAUAGUUACCGAUUUCUGAAAUUUUUGUACUCAUACUUUUGUUGCAUUCUUUCAGGAAAGACCUACAAAUUCAGGAUAUCAAAUGUGGGAAUAGCAACUUCAAUCAACUUCAGGAUUCAGGGUCAUACAAUGACACUUGUUGAAGUUGAAGGAGCUCAUACCUUGCAAGAGGUGUACGAAUCACUUGACGUUCAUCCAGGCCAAUCUGUAGGUGUUUUGGUUACAUUACAUGGUUCAGUCAAGGACUAUUUCAUCGUGGCCUCUUCCCGAUUCACAAAACCCAUUCUCACAACCACUGGAAUUCUUCGAUAUGCUGGUUCUAGCAUCAAGGCAGCAGGGCCAUUGCCUGUUGGUCCAACCUAUCACAUUCACUGGUCUAUGAAGCAAGCCAGGACAAUCAGGUAGCAACCACGUACAUUCUUAUGAUAUAUCUAUGUUACCAUAUUACUGUCGAAGUUGUCAAUUUGAUAGGCAUCUAAUUUACUAUCUCAUUCUUGUGUGUGAAGAUUGAAUUUGACAGCAAAUGCAGCCAGGCCUAACCCUCAGGGAUCAUUCCAUUAUGGUACCAUUCCAAUAGUGAGAACACUUGUUUUGGCCAAUACUGCUGCUAAGAUCGGUGGCAAGCUUCGCUAUGCUGUAAACAAGAUCUCCUAUGUUGAUCCAGUGACCCCCUUGAAGCUGGCUGACUGGUUUAACAUCCCUGGAGUAUUCAACUUAAACUCAAUCAAGGACACACCUACUCCAGGCCCUGCAAGCUUAGGUGUAUCGGUCAUAGGAACUGCACUCCACGACUUCGUCGAAGUCGUAUUCCAGAACACCGAACCCACACUACAAUCUUGGCAUCUUGAUGGAAGUAGCUUCUACAUUGUUGGGUAGGCAUGCAACUUUCAUAUGAACAAAUCUUAAUAUGGUUAAACUCUAAUCAUCUGGCUAAUGCUGUCGCUCUUCAACUUUCAGAUAUGGUUCUGGAAAUUGGACCCCAGAUAUGAGGAGACGCUACAAUUUGGCAGAUGCUGUACCAAGACACACAGUUCAGGUAAUUGGAUUUUUGGUUACUUCUAAUUGUUAAUGUUCAAAUGCAGCUUUGCUCAAAGACAUUAGAAUUAUUGUACCAAAAACCACUGUUAAUCCAAUUGUUACUUGGUGAAAUCGACAGGUGUAUCCUUAUGGUUGGAGUGCUAUGUUGGUGUCUUUGGACAACAAGGGAAUGUGGAACUUGAGGUCUGCAAUCUGGGCAAGAAGGUACUUGGGUCAGCAAUUGUAUAUCAGAGUUUGGAACGAUGAGAAAAGCUUCUUCACUGAGAAUGACAUCCCUCAAAAUGCAUUAUUUUGUGGCAAGGCCCAUCACUGAUAGAAAAGUUGUUUAGUCUUUGAUAUAAUCUUCUGUGUUCUUUCAUUUGAUUUUUUUACUUGGGUGGUUCUUAAGUUUCAGUUACGAGGGUGUGACUGUCAAAAAAGGGAUUGGGGAAACAGGCUUAGGGGGAGGAAAAAUAAUAUGUUUUAAGUGUCAUUAUAUUGUUGUGUUAGAUUUCUUGCUAACCACAAUCCUCAAUUGAUUGCUCUUAUAUAUAGUUCAUUCCUAUUAUAUACUACCUCCCCAUUUCAGUUCAUCAAUGUUUGUCCUCUGUUAUGCUUCCUAUUGCUUCCUAUGCAUUAUUUUUUGCUUCCUAUGCUUCUAUGCUUUGAAGAUGAAGAACCGUUACCAGUCACCCAACAUAACCAUAGUUAUUGACUUAUUUCUCGAAAAUUCUUCUAUGCACUAAGGUACAAAUGAACCAAGCAACUAAUAUGCAGUAUUUUGAUCCGGUCAUCUACGUCGCACUACAUGCAUAUAUACUAAUACCGUUAACAAAAUAAAAAAUAAAAAAAUAGUCUUAAGUGUUUCCAACUAAGAAAGUGAGAACAAUAGGUCAAAGAAAAUGUACUCUUAUUAUGGCCAUUUAGUUAGAUCGGAUCAAAAAUGAAAUUGAAAUGAAGGAAUUUAGGGUUUUUAAUCUUUAUUCGAUCUUCUCAUACGGCGAUUUGAACACUUACAUAUUAAUAAUGCAAAAGUGCACUUUGGUGCGUGGAAUUCGCUCCUCACUAUAUAUGUUAGGCUACACUAUAGCCACUCUAGCCAGCAAUUGUAAGACUCGAGGCAUUCGAUCGACUCAAAUCUCAUUAGUAAUAGGUUUUGUACAAUUCGAUCAAUGUGUUUAUGUUAUUUUGCAAAUGGCCGGUUAGAUAGGGUUUUUUUUUUGGGUGAAUAAUACAGUUCGUUAUGAAAUCUAUGCUCCCAUAUACGUACAUGUUAACAUGCAUACAACAUUACAGCUAGUCGAGAACGCUAGCAGCUCAAGCAACAAGUAUUAAUCAAAAUUAAAAUCAUGAGAGAUUUUUAUGUAGGGCAGACAUAUCAUGUGGCGGUACGUCAGGUCAAUAGAAACACACACAAGAAGUAUCAUGAAUAACGCAUUUUUGAAAAAUAGGGAUAAUUUUAAUAUUUAUACAAAACUUGUAUUUCUAAUUUUCUAUUAGUCUGUCAUACUAUCAUGUGAUAACCCUAGCUAUCUAAGAAUUUUUCAUCACUCGAUCACAUGACAACACACAUCAACACAAGGCAACUGCAUUGGCUGAAUUGCCCAUAGUCGAAUCGGACUAUGAUAAUACAUAGGAAGUUCAGUGAUACUGUUUACUGUUCAGUGUUAUCGGACUAUGAAUCACUUCAGCUUAUUCAUGCUUAUUAUUUGAACACCAAAAACUGAUGGAAUUCCAUUUUCAAUGCGUAGGAAGUUCAGUAAUACUGUUUAGCGUAGGCUAUUUGAAGUUUCCUACCGCCUUUUGCUUAAGCGGUCUCAAAUCGACCCGAGGCUAAAUAUGUACGUGAAACGGAUAAAAGCAUCAGAAGCUCUCCAGUAUUAUGCAAUCGCGAUCGAAGGCAAGAAUAUUUCACAGAGAGAGAGAGAGAGGCAGCGCCCAAAGGGCUUUACAUAAAGAUGUUGAAGCAGGCAGCAGUAACAGUACUGUUGCAGAGAAGCAGGCAAUUAGAGCAGAGAGGGCAUGCUCAAGUUUGGAUAAGGCUGCAGCAGCUCAGCUGCUAUAGAAGGAAUCCUCUGACGACGGAAUACUGUGAGAGAAUCAAAGGCUCUGCUUUUAUCACUUCCUUCACUACUUUCUCGUAACCAAAACAGUACUACUACUCACUGAGAUUCUUCAUCUUCAUGCAUGUGCCCUCCACUACAACACCCACCACCACCAUUUAUAAAACUAUCAAAUAUCUUAUGAGGGAUCUUACGAACCCAAAACACUUCUUUCCAGUUCUGCAAUUCUGCUUACCCAGAACCAAUUAAGUAACUAAACAAUGUUAAUUACAUUUUACUCGAGUUGGCAAAGAUAACUGAAUGUACGUUACUGCUGGUUUACAGAUUUACAAUUAACCACCUAAAAAGAUUGAAUAACCAACACUUGUUUCAAGAAAUAACGUGAACUAUUGCACUAAUAGAUAAUCUAUGCCAAAGAAUUUGAUAACACCAAGAAAUAGUACUCCAUUAACAAAUAACAAACGUUUAACUUAAUAUAAUUCUGGUCCUUAAUUGGUACACCCCCAUAUCCCUUUACACCUUCAAACACACAUACAUAAAAAGAAGAAAAUAAGAGAAUGAUACCUGACUAAUGCAAUAUCACAACCCACACACAAACAGAAAUGAAACAAUACCAAAAAAAAAAAAACAAUCAAUAAAGAUUGAGAACCUAGCUAACUAGCUAAAGUAGACAAAGAAGAAAUUAUGAAGUUCUUAACUUAAGGGUAUGCACCGUUUGUUGUAGGGAGCUGAUCGGACCAAGUAAACGCCGGGUUCCAGUUAUAACCCAAUUCACCACCAACAGCCGGAGCCGCCUCCAAAAUCGAUGAAGUAGAUGAUGAAGAAACUCCAUUGUUAAGAUCAUGUGAAUAAUAACUAGCUGAUGAAGAUGAUCUAAGCCUCUGAAAGAGUUCCUGAAUUCCCUGGUUGCUAUGAACCUCAUGCCCAAGUAUGAAAUUACCAUUCUGUUGCUGGUGCGGAGGUUGAACGUUCUGAUUGUUUCUCCAGAAAGAACUCAGCGGAUCCAAACCCAAGGUCGACCGAGCUGUCAUUGCAUCAUUUCCAGCUCCAGAAGACUCACUCAUCAUGUGGGAACCAAUCAUACUCAUGCCCCCCUCUUCCUUCACAGAAUUAGUACACAGUUGAACAUUAGGGUUAGGGUUAGGGUUUGGAGUGCUGGAUCUUAGAAGAGCUAGGAUAUGGGAAUUCUGAGGUGAACCCCACAGUAUAGGACUUGCUUGCACCUCGUGAUCAAACCCAAGUCCGAAUCCGGACCUCCCGAUCUCCGACGCCAUUGAUUUCAUCUUCCCGGCCACAGCUGUCUUGCUUAUUGAUGUUGAGAUGGUACCACUCUUGUUUUUCCGGCAUCCGCCCCCAAUCGGAACAUUCCUUAGAGCUCCUCCCUUGGUCCAGUAGCGGCGGCAAGUCUUGCAGAAGUGGCGGGGCUGCGUGAGGUUGUAGUUGUUGUAGUAACAGAACUUGGUGUUGGCAGAAUCGCAUCUCGGGCAUCUCAAGUUCUCUGAAUUCGCUGUUGCACCGGCCGCGGCAGCAGCGGUGGUAGUUGUAGUAGCGGAAGAAGAUGGAGACGGCGAUGGCGAAGCCGAAAGAGAAGUAGAAGAAGAAGAAAUGGAGAUUUUCCUCUCUGCUCCUCCUCCUCCUCCUCCUCCUGCUACUCCUCCUAUAUUAAACCCUGCGCCACCGAACAGUUCUUGGAUCAUCUCUUAAUCUUUGAUGAUUAUCUCUUCUUUGUAGAUCUACAACAAUCCAAAAACAAGAAAAGCAGCAAAUAAAGAUGGAGUCUUUUUGAGUUAGUGGAGAGAAAGCUAGCUAAAGAGAGAAAGUGGUUUUUGUUUUGUGUAUUUAGUGUGUAUGUGUGAUCUUAGCUAGCCUAUAUAUGUAAAGAGAGGAUUGAUUGAGGGUGGAAUAUCAAAUAAAAUGGCUUGCCUGGCCUUGUGUGACUUAAGACUUAAGUACUUGUAUCCCUUGGCUGGCCAAAUAUUCUGAGGGGGUGUAAAAGAAUGGAGGACUACUGGUAGUGGAUGGGGAAGCUUUAAUAUAUAGCUCUCUAUGCAUGUGGAAGAAAGUAUAUUAUCACAACUUUAGUCUAUAAAUUUUAUGUAUAAUACAAAGUGGUAUUUGGAUUUGGAAUUCAGUUGUGGGUAGUUUUUGGAGGCAAGUAAAUGGUCUUUUCUCAAAUUCCAGGUCUGCCCUACUCAUCUGAUCAUCCAUCUUUUCUCUGAGCAGAAAUAGCUAAUUGACCAGUCUGCAUUAUUUCCUUGAUGAUUCCAAUAACAGUGAAAUAUAUACUCGGAUGAUGAAACAUUCAAAUUUAUGGUGAAAAUUAACUUCUUACCACUUAAAUUCCAUUUUUCACUUAUAUGUUUUGUAACCAAAAAAAUAAUAAUUCCAUUUUUCACUUUAAUUAGGGUAAAUUUAGGGCAAAUGCUCUAUGUACUACUUGAACUAGCUAGCUAGUUUGUUUCCAUUGUUUCUUCAAAGGUUGAAUGCACCAGAACCCAAAUCUGUUUUAUGGAAAUCAUUUGCGUUUGUAAUUGAAUAAGCUUAGUUCUGAAUUUGCAGUUCAGACUGUGAGCUUAGUGCAGAAGCGCUUUAUCAUUGUAUAUACCAAGAAAAGAUUUGCCUAGGGCAAUUGGCAAUAUACAAUUUCAAUUCUAUAUUGCUAGCAGUGGGAAGUAGAGAAGAGAAUAAAUAAUGAUACUAGCAAUCAAGUUUUCCAAAAGAAUAAUUUUUGUACGUUGUGUGUGGGGGCUUUUGUGUUUCCUUCGUGAAGAUGCUGCUGGAGAAUUUCAUCAUUACGAGUUCGAGGAGUGGGCUAAUCACAUGGAAUUACGUGUAAAGCCAAAGUCCCUACAUCAACUAUUAUAGCCAAGAUGGUAUUAGUACUACACUACUACUGCCCGAAACUUAUGGCUUCAAUUUUGCCUUCCCCGCACCCACAUUUCACUACCAACGAACACAUGUAUAUGAUUAGCCAUCGAGUUUUACACAUUGAUUUUGAUCGUGUGGUUUUGUUGUCUACUAUCAAGUACUGCGAGAGCAAAUGCGUUUCUCAUUUGCGUUUGAAACACUCAUCAUUAGAGUGUUCCAACAAUCAUAAUCCAUCGAUCACACAUUCACACUCGUGGCCAAUGACUUUGAAUGUUCAUUAGCUUGGGAUCAACUGUGAGACUGGCAAUAAUGAAUGACUAUCAGUAAUUUGAACUGUACAUGUAAUCGAACGACUAAAACUAACUAGCCCUAAUUCGAUCCCAUCACAUAUGUAUGCACCGGGGGUGGAUCCAAAUGAUGAUCGUAACCAAAGGAAUCUGCAUCCACACUUCAAUUUUCUCUUAUUUUCUUUUUUGAGUAAAAGAUAAUUGCAUUGCUAAAACAAUGACCAGAAGACACGUUACAUCACACUUUCAUGAACAACAGUACAACACUUACUAAUCUAUGCACUUUUAUUAGAAUUAGUCAUGCAAUUAAGCGUUUACUGAAAAUACUUCUCGGAUCUUGCCCUAGCUAGGCAUAGUGGUAACAUCGAUACUUCUCGGAUCUUGCCCUAGCUAGGCAUAGUGGUAACAUCGAUCCUUAUGCACCUGCAGGCAGAAGUGCCAUGCAUGGUAGCUAGGUCGAUACGUUUCUAAUUGUGCCAUUGUACAUAGUAAUUAACCUAACACUACUGUAAUAGAGCUUAUAAUAAGGUAUUACAAUUACCAACUCAGCUCCACCUAUAAGUCUUGGUAUACAAUCAUGAUUGAAAUUGAAGGCAUUGACGAACUCAUGACCAACUAUACUUAAUCGGUUCACAUUAACAUACAAGUACGAAAUUUCGCAAAAGCUUAUGAAAUAGACUCGAGCUCCUCGCACCUUGGUCAUCAGGUCAUGUACGUAAGUACUGAAUGGUCUAUACUUGAUUAAUUUGGCGUGCAAUAUAGUAUUAACACUGUCACCUCAUUACCUUGGCAUAAGACAAAUUGGAAAGAAUCAAACUGAGGCAACCUUAUCAGUUAGUGCUCAUUGAGCCACUAUUCAGGUUUAGGUUUAUCUGGACCAAUUAUAUGUUCUACUUAUGUGAACAAGCUAACUUCUAUGAACUUGUGGUUUGAAUACAAAUCACUCUGGUUUAUACAAAAUAAUUGAACAUUCUCAAAAUAAUUCAUGGGUCUACAUGUCUGAGAUUAGUGGAACCAAUUGUCAAUCACCAUCGAUCAUGAAGUGGUAAAUCUUAUCCCUUAAGCUUCAAGCUAAUACAGGUACAAUGUGUAAACUGAUUUCUUGGCAAUUUCACUUCUUGAUUAAUUAUUAAUCCGACGGAAAAGUCUUGCAGCUAAAUAAUUUUAAGUGUCUCCAUUAAGCAUAUGAAUGGAUUAGUUAGCGGGUAGGUCCAAUUUUGGAUUAAACUAAAAGAGCUAAUACUAGGUUAAUCAAUUUUUAACUACUACAAGAAAGAGAUAGUGAUUGCUUUCCCAUUCCAGUUCCUUCAUUCACAUUCUGUCAACUCAUGCAAUAAACUGUGGACUCAAUCAUCAAAGGCUGUUUGAUUAAGAAGAAAACACGAUUCCGAUAGUAAUUGUAGUAGCAGAACAAUUGGAUAUAUAGAGAGCGCAUAAAUUGGUCUCUUUCUAUAUAUCUAAUUGUUGAGAGUAAAGUAAAUUGGACAGUAAUCGGUUUUUUUGUUAGCUUUGUGGUACACGAGUUGGCAUGGUUCGAAAGCUAAUAUGGUGUUGGUGGUGGUGGUAACGGUGGAGGUGAUCCUGUUGUGGAACUUGUUUGUUCCUCAAACCCAAAACCAAACAGCAACAAAAAGUAAAUUGGAUAGUACUGUUCUCUUGUGAACAGCAAGCUAGAGAAGUCCAGAAACUGAUGUAUCAGCCUUCAAAUUCUUUGACCAAAGCACUAGAUCUAUUGGACCAAAGUCGAAACUGGAACUAGGAAAACCCAUGCACAAUACUUGUUCUUGUGUUGUUGUAUGUGCAGAACUGGAAAUUAGGUAAAGUGCAAAGCUUGAAGAUCGCUAAACAAAGCUUGCAUGCAUGAGCUAACUAGGUCCCCAAUUACUCCAACACAGUGACACACUUUCAUGCUGAGGAAAACGAUAUGUGACCGGAAAAGGAAAACACAUGCCACAUGAAAAAAGAGAACCCCAUGUUGGUUUGGCCAGACUUGGGUCGGUUCAGUCUCUUCAGAAAUUGAAAACAGGAUAUCAUAGAGGGACGUCUGCUCCGGUCCCCUUCCCGGUCCGGUCUGCUUUUCGAAACCCUCGAAAUUAUUGGUGAAAACACAGAUGGUGAUGUUCGUACUGUCCACGUACCUGACCGCGCGUGCCGUCAGGAGCGCGAGGUUCAGAUCAGAGAAUAUAGACCAGACGUGAGUCACUGACCGACGACGAAGAAGACAUCGGCUUUAGCGUGAGGGCAGCGGAAAACGACGUGAGCUUUAGCCUUUGUUCGUUGAGGUACACAUGUUGGGGACACAUGUUGGGGAGUGUGGGCAGGCCGGGCAGUGCGGGCAGGUAAUCAGGGUCGCCGUCAAGGUUGGCUGUGGUGGUUUCUGAGUGGGGCAGUCGUCGUUGCUUUACGUCCUCGAUCCUCGGGCACCUCUCUGAGAGGGUCUCUGUUUUCCCCAGUCGACCCUCUAUCCCUAUCAGUUGCUUUCUCAACACUAUGCAAUCUUAGAUUCGUUUGGCGCCGAAUCUCCCUCAAAAUCCAACCCUAUCAGUUGUAUUAUUUAUUUACCAAAAAGAUAACCCUAGGUAAAUUAUAUAUUAGUGUCCUAAAACAAAACGGAUACACCGUACUAGCUAGUACUGCAUGCGGGUAUUAAAAUCUGAUUUUGCUACCUGAUUAAAAAUAUGAUAUGGUACUAGAUACCUGGUUAUUGAUUGUAUUUCUUGUGCUUGGUAUACAUACAUGCAUGGUAAAAAUAUGUUGCUAUAUGCGAGCUGAUUGAAAUAUUGUAAACUGAUGUUGUCGGUACAGGAAAAGGGUUGUUUAUCCGUGCUCCAUGCUUCUAUUUCAGUGCUAAGAGUCUCUAGCCACAUUUUAGGCUGAACAUUUAAUAACAUUCAAAAGAUGGUAAAAAUAUGUUGUCGUAAUUGAAAUGAAAAGACUUUCUAUUUGAAAUGUUGCAGGAUGAGCUAGUGUUCUAUGCAAUAUUUGCAAAUGAUAAAGCACGCUGGAAUUAGCAUCCCGGUGGAUCUAUGUAUUUUGCUACACACUCGCUUUGAGUGUUUAGUUUUAUUGAUCGAAUGGUUUCUUCUUCUUCCUUGGGCUUUUGAGAGUAUUUUCGGCUCUCACUUGUCAUGAUUUUGGUUUAGCUAUGAGGUCAUGUUACUAUUAAGUCUGAUUCAUAUAUCACAUACACUAUUAAUCUUUAUUUCGUAUUUUGUAAUGACUUGAAUUGUAGGAUCUGUAAUCGUAGAACUUGAAAAUUGAAAUCUAACACUGAUAGAUUUUAUGUUUCUAAGUAAACGUGGAUUAAAGGAAUAUAAAGGAAUAAAACAAGAAGCCAGCUAGAACUAUCUUCAGAGAUGGAUCAGAUAUUCUUCUUCUAUUGCAAUAGGCCGGGAAUGGGAAAUUCAAAGAAUUGAAAAGAGAAAUCAUAUCGAUCAUGUAGAUAACAUAAUUGUGAGAGUACAGUAUAAUUAUUUAUGUACGGGGUUGAUAUGACAUGAGAAUUGAAAUGUGAGAAUAAUGCAUUGGAUCGAUGAGGAAUAUAUGAGGGAUGUGAUAUGGAAUUCCACAUUCCAAAAAUUAAUAUAGACCCUGGCCAACUACGAUUGUCCUCUCCUUAAGUGGCAAUGCAGCUUUUCUCUAGGGCACCUUACCUUUCGCGCGUUUCGUUCUAUUCCGAUUAAAGUGCUUCCAAUAAUUCUGACUCCCUCUCGAUCUCUGAUCUCUGAUUUCUCCCUCACAUGCACACACAUAAGCAGCUUGUACUGUAACUAGGCCCAAUUUCUUCUUGUCGUUUCGACAAAAGAAAAAGAUCAACAACUUCCCCUCGAUUGGAUACCUAGAUUUACAAGACAGAUUUUAUCUCACACGUCGAUCUUAAAGUUGCAUGAAUUGGUUUAUAUUCGAAGUAAUAAGUUUGAAGAUCACAAGCUUCGUCUGAGAAUUGUUCUAAGUUAGUAGCCGCUCUCAGACUAAAAUAGUUGUUGUUCCCGGCGUUUGGCAAAGAAGUUUAGCUGGAAGCGCAAUUUAGAGGUACUGUAAUUAAAAUGUAAGCAAUUUAAAAGAUGUUUUUGUUAAAACAGUUCAAAUUUUUAUUGAAAACAAACACUGUAUUCGUUAAAUGAAUACUUCGUAACAAAAGUGAUCUCAUGAUAGGAAUAUGUCACAGUGUUGAUACAGCAACCGAUUACUCUAAGGAGUCUAAACAACAAUAUUGUUCAGUCUUUGACGGUAUUUGAUGUAUAGUAGUGUGAUAUUAAAAAAACAUAUAUACAACUUAAAAUCAUAAAUCAAGCGAUGCUGAAUACGUUAAAUAACAUGUAAUCUCGCAUGCUACUUUGCAUGAACUCUAAUAUAGUGAAGAAGUCUGAGUUACUGGCAUGGGAUCUUUCUUACUCUUAUACGCAUGUAUAAAGAAUUAAGUUUCUUAUUGUACAUCAAUCUAUUCCAAGUCUCCUGAUGGGGCAAAUAUUCUCACAAUAGCAAGGAAAUGUUUUGGAAUAUGACAAUCAAUCACCGACGGCAACGUACAAUGUCACUACUUAAAGAUCAUUUGUCAUUAGGGUUUUGUUUGCAUACUAGUCUCUCGGGAUCCUCCAAGGAACUAUGUUUUGUACUUAUGUAAGAAGCAUAUAGAAUUGUAGGGUAACAGUUCGAGAGAGAGUAGGUUGACACAAAAUUCCUUGAUAAUCAUAUACAUUCCUCCUAUAUAAGGGUCCCAACCUUGAAAUUGAUAUAAUGCCACCAAAUAAUAUAGGUCGUUUCUCCUCGAUCAGCUUGCAGAAACCAAUGGAGACUAGAAAUAUAUAGCUGGGUUUUUCAACCUGACAAAAGCUAAAAUGGACAAAAUCCUAGUCGCAGAGGUAGUGUAGAUCAUGUCGAUAAUACCUUUGCAUGCAUGUGUCUGUGUGCUUAUUAGCUAGAUAGAAGAGGAACUAACAACAGUGGUUGUCAUGAUAUAACCAAGUUUCAAAGAGCUAGCUAGCUAGCUGGGGGGGUAGAUAAUACACAAGAUGAUAUGUUGUUCGAUCCCAUAUUAUUAUACAAAACCAAAUCCUGCUGGUUCAAUUAUAUAUUCCAAGACUGAGAUUUGGUUAAGAACUUCUAAUUCGAGUCGUUCUGAUUUGUGAGCACCCUAGCUCCUAAUUAAUUCCAAUGGAAAUUAAGAUGGGUUCAGGCCGGCUAGAUAGGCAUGUAUCGAUAGUUCGAUACUAAAAACAAACAAAAAGUACGUUGAUCGAUCAAAUCUCAUUUGAUCAGUACUCGAUCAAUAGCAUAAUUUCAUUAGAUUUAGAGGGGUUUUAAUGAAAUUCUGCAGUGCCAAUAUAUGCAAGUAGAAAUGUAAAAUUAUGGAGAUGCCAGGCCCUGGUAGAUGACAGUGAAGCAAUCAGCCAAGACAAGUGGUGUGGUAAGGGCCAAGGCCUGGAUUAUUCUCUACUGAAAUUGACAGAUAUAUGGAGCCCAGAAACUGAUUGGCUCAAUGAUCCCAUCUGAUGAAGAAAAAAAGAAAACCGAAUUUCCUUUUAUUAAUCAAAUUAUCAAAUAGAUGAAUACAAAUUUGAAAAACAGUUUGUUUAUGUGAUUAACUCAAUUGGCAUAUACUAACACUAGAAUAGGUAGACUCCAACAGCUCCCACACAAGAAGAAAAUGUAUAUAGAAUUGAACCCUCUCUUCAAUCUGCGAAGUAUAAUUUUAGAUAUGAUAUAUUGAUGAAUUAAAGACAGAUAAAGAUAACACCACCUUGAAACUUGAGCUAGCAUUCAUCAGUAAGUGUGGAUCGAUCUCAGCUAGAAUUCCCAAAUCCAACUAAUUAAACAUCAUAAUCAUCCAAAACUACUAGGGCAUGUUUCCCUAAAUUCCUUGCUCCUGCAACUGAAAAUUCUGCAUUAUUGGUAUGUAGUUGGUGGAUUACAUUACCUUUUGUUUUUUUUGUUCUUGCAAAAGGAUCCAAAACAUAAUUAUCUACGUAUAUAUUCUCUUUCACUACAUGAAAUUAGUGUCACCUAUAAUGCAAGACUGAGAUAUGCCAUUGAAUAAACUAAUGAGAUACAGCUUAAUUUAGGUACAUCGAUCAGUCCAAAUCGAUCACGACGGCACCACUGAGAUUGCAUAGAUUACCUUAAUCAUUCAGCUCCAUAUAUAUCGAAUCGAAUAUAUAUAUUGAUCUUAAUAUUGUAAUCGUCAUCACAGUAGUCUCUCUUAUUUAGGACUUGUACCUUGUUGGUUUCCCCGACAUCAUCUACGUUGGUACUCAACUGCCCCCAACAUCGUAUGUUCAUUAAUUAAGAAUCUGAACACAUCAAUGCAUUUCUAGAUGCAAAUUAGUUAAUUUGUUUUCCUCUCUAGGUCUAACAAGAUUGAAAUACUGUCAUAUUCUAUAAUUGGCAGACGACUUUAUGGAUCAUAACAAGAAAGAGGCCGCUUCACUUUCAACUAGUUGGGGGCACACAGAUGAAGAUCGAGUAUAUUUGGUUGGAUUUUCUUGAGUCAUUCCUUUACGAACUUUAUAAUUUGAGGUUGACAUGCAUUACUGUAUGAUAACAUUUCGUCAACGACAAAGAUAAAAUUGAGCAUAUACAUAUGGAUUGGUCUUAUUCGAACAAAUACAUAUGCUAGGUUUUCAUUAUCAUAUACAAGGCGAAAUGAUUCAAGCGGUCAAAUCAUUGAUUUUGAUUACAAAUCAUCACUUACGUAAAGGUAAUAAGAAGAGCAUUUUUGAGAUUUCACAAGGCGAUCACAAUGACACUUUGGAAAGAGCAUUUACGAAUGAAUUUUGUUCUAUUUCUUGAAAGACAAGAGUUGAUAAUGAUUACAAUCGUUGAGAAUGAACAGACUUGAGAGCAAACACGACCUAAAAAUGGCUUGAAAAUAGCUAUUGGCAAAUUUUUGAAUUUGAAAGUUCAGAGUUGAAAGUACGAGUUUUAUACUGGAAUGUAAGGCCCAAUGUGAGUAAGCCCAAACUAACUCUUGAGGCCCAAUUGAGAAGGCCCACAGAUAAAAGCAUACAUGAUCGUCUCCAAGAUCUCUCUCACCCGCGAAGUUAGAGCCAAUUAGGAUUUCUCAGUCAGUCAAAGACUCGAUUACUUCAAGUUCAAAACACUCCCCGAUCAAAAACGACGCCGUCCAAUCCACCACCGCCCAUCGCCGGCAGCUAGGGUUUCGUAAUCACUCCGGGUUCCCAAUCCCUCAUCUUCACCAUGAACUGCGAAGUUUGCCAACUCAAAGAAUUGGUAUAGCUUCAUCAUUUCUAUCUCUACACACCAAUUUCGAUUCGAACUCAGUUAUUUUCUGCCAAAAUAAAUUGAAAUCUCACUGUCUUUUUUUUUUUUCCAGGAAGUCGAGCACUUUGAGAUUCGUGAAGUUCUUCGCUGUAAGUUUCCGAUAAAGAUUGAACUUUUUGUUUUUUUUGUUGUGAUUGAUCCUGUGACUUUUUCUGCUGUAAAAUUAGUAUGUUUAUAUGCAAAUCAGGUUCUUAAGGUUAAUCUGUGGAGGUUAAAAGUUUUACUUAGCGGAGCUUGCUUGAACAAUAGAAAUGAGAUAUGUGUUUAGGUUUUGACGGUUGUGUCAUUCUCAAAAAAAGAAGAAGAAGAAGGUUUUGACUGUUGUGUGGAAUAGAGAGAUUGAAAAUGUUGAGGUAUCUGUACACAUAAGCUUUGUUGAAAUUGGGGAGAGUAGAUUCUUGUGCAGUUUCAGUUGGGUUUGAAAUCGUGUUUGAUUGUGUAGGGUGGUAGUUAAGGACUUUGAGAUUCUUUUUACGGGAUUCGUUAGCUUUCAAGCAUGAGUUAACGCUGACAAUAAACCGGAUUGAGAACUUAAUACAAGAAAACAUCCUCAAAGAAUUUGUUUUGAUGUGAAAGUUUCUAUUGAUUGCUUCUUAAUGGUCAGUUAAGCAUGGUAUUUGCAUUAGAGUAUGUGGCAGUGUUUGGUCUUUAGAGCGGUGUAUGGAGUUUCUGUGUAGUUAUGUUUUCUGUCAUGGGGAUUGCCUUCAGUUAGGUCAGCAUUGAGUCCAGUAUAAUACUAUUUUUGUUUUAUUUUUUAAUUUUUUUUUAAACAUGCAUUUUGAACAUGUCUGCAGGCAUACUUCACACAAUUGUGUUCAACCGGGCUUUAGGUCUUGUUCGGCCGAAAGAUGUUGAUUUGGAACUAUUUGAAAUUACAUAUGUAAGUGUUUCUAUUCUCCAAAAGUUUGGCUACCUUAAUUUUGUACCGAGCAGUUAAUUUUGAGGCAUUUUCUUUCCUUCAGCAUACCAUUAGUGGCAUUCCUUUUUACUGAAUAAUGCAAUGAAUUCCCAACGGAAGUAUAGUUUUAGUAAGGGAGUUUUGAAGACAGUACCAAUUCUGACUUGAAAUUCUGCCGCAGUCCUGAUGGCACCUGAAUUCUAGCUUAUUUGACCAAUAAGUGUUGCAUCCAAUUUCCCUAUGUAGAAUGGUAUCGACUUUUGGCAUUCUGAAGGCAUAAAUUGGUCUGAUCUUAGCCCUUGAUAUGUGUAGUUCUAUCUGAAACUUCCUCUUAUAUAGGUGCAAUGUGGAGAUGUGGAUCUUGAAAAGAAAAUAGAUGAGAAGAUUGAGCAAUUCAUCAGUUGGGUAGAGAAACACCCAAACAAGAAAAGUCAGGUUUGUCAUCUGUGGUUGCUAUUUGCUUAUGUAAUCACUUGAUUUGCAACUAGAUUUUACUUUUGUUAGAACUGAUGACUUUUUGUUGUGAACUUUUUCCUCCAUGCUUGAUUUCUCAUCCAAAACUAUCCCGUUAUGUUCUCUCUUUGUUCAGUGAACGUUUUCAGCAUUAUGAAUAUAUAAUUUACAGACAUGUCCUAAUUGAAUGUGAUUAUUUCUGUAGGUCUGCUUGUCUUUCUUUGAAGUAAAAAAAAACAAACAGGCAUCUUGGUUCACUAAUAAGACAGAGCGGCUAUAUUGGGAACAGUGGUAUAUCAAUUUAAAUGUGGCCCAAACCCCAAAAGUACAUUCUACCAAAUCUCAUCACUCCAAAAUUGUAGUUGAUCCAGGAGGUACACUUACUAUUCUGGGCUGAAUUUAAUUCUUUGAUGCUUCACUUUCUGCAAGGCAUCUUACCCUACUGUUUUAUUUGUUUGAUCUAUGGCUCCAGAAAGUGCAUCAGAGGAGAGAAUUGCUCGCAGAGCUGCACUUGAAUCAACUCUUCAUGAGGUUUUGUUUCAAAUUGUGAAAUUUGUGAACGAGAAGAAAGAUCAUGUUCCCCCCAUACCGAAUCUUGAGGGUGUAGUCUAUUUCCCCCAUGAAAUAACUAUCCCAAGGUUAGUUCUCAUUUUACUUUCAGAUAUGUUUCUAACCAGGGCCUUUAUAUCUAACAUCUUCUCUUGGAGUUAAAAUGUGAUUCGAAGAUUUUCAGAGGCAAGUAAAGCUACUUGUCCUUGGGCAUUAAAGUGUGAUUAUUGACAUGAGCUCUGUAACACAUACACUGUUUAUCACACCUGUAGAUUUUAAUGAAAAUACGUGUUGGUGGUUUUUGGGAUGUCAUAAGU
rnacentral:lncRNA from 1 species